UAGAAUUUUACAGUACACGAGCAAAGAGGGAGAAUGCGGACAGGGAGUGUACCGACCCACAGGACGGUGCAUCAUUGUUCACUGGAAUCACUGUGCCGCUACUGGCCAACGGCUGGUGGGGGGUGCGUAAGGUAGACAGAGAAGCGCGGUGGGCGUGCACACAAGAGGGGGGCAGUGGAGUGGAGACUGAGAAAGGGGCGCAGGAGGCAAGACGAAUGGACAGAGGGAAAGGGCAAGAAAGAUGGGCGGAAGCAAACCAGCGGAAGACACAGAAAGUCACACAGCACAAAGAGAGGUAGGCAACCAGCACAAUUCUUUCUUUUUACGAAUAAUACAAUCACAACUCAGCGUCAAAACUGAAAAGGAAAAACAACGAAUUUGCACGAAUCCGUCGGACCAAACACUGCUAGCCAGAAAUUUGGUUGAAAUUUUGUUACCCAUUAAGUUAGAACAUUGGUAGAAACACAAUUUAGGGUUGACAAAAAGGUAUUAUUAUGACAAAAACUUGGCAACCAUCCAUUCAUAAAUCCAUGCCAAGCUUCUCCAUGGCUUUCCUGCUCUUCUUCUCACUCCUACUCUGCCUAGAUCUUCCAGUAGCAUCAACUCCUAGACCCAGAAAGCACAGACGCAUAAUGUCAGAUUUUCAACAUUUUGCACAAGACCAGAACUCUGCCACUUAAGACAUAGUUCACUUCAUGGAUUAUUAUCUGUAAUCAUUGGAAAUGGCAAGUGUAACAUUCAUAUAACUGUACAAAAAACAACUUUUCUCAAACAAGACUGAACAGAAACUGUGACAGCGAUCAAGUCUUCUUGGUACACAUUAUCAAUUUUUGAAUUUUGAACAAGAUAUCCCUCUUAGGGUAAGGUACAAAGGAUAGCUAGUCGCAUAAUGGUUAAUGGAAAUUCCAGCAUCAUUUCAUACUAAAUGCAUUGAAAUGGAUCGCCUACCAAGAUUACACUUGCAAAAGCAAGAUUUUACAUUCACGAUUUGCUCCUACCAAACUAAAUGCUAUAGCUGAACAUUCAUGUACAUGUUAAUCCAGGUUGAAAUCGAUACAAGGUGCAACCUCAGUACAGAGCUAAAUAAUUUAGGAGUAAGUGAAUAUGAUACGAUUCCAAAGAAUUGAGAAUAUAAACCACAAACACAUAGUGAUAGUACAGAAAGAACAGAAUAUUAGAGAAUACAAACUGGUCAGUGUCUAAUCUUCAAAUAAAAAACAGGUCAAAGUGAACCAAAAUAGGUAAGUACAGAGUUUGUAUCAUUGAGGAACAGAUCAGAAACAAUUUCUGUAUUAUGGAAAUGCCAAAAUUUAGCCCAAUAGAAACACAUAAUCCAUUGAUUCAGGAGUUGAAUAAGCAACGUUUAGUUUCAAAUUUGGGUAUGGGCAAUAACUUCAGAUGUUUAAAUUUAUAUUGGGAAUUAGAAGGCAGCAUUACAAUAAGAAAUGGGCUUAUCUUUAACUAAGUAGCUACUUGAACUGAAUAGAAGGAACUGCAGAAUUUCAUCAUACCCGCAACGUCAUCGUCAUCUUUUUCAUCCUCAUCCUCAUCGUUGUCAUCAUCGUCCUCAACGAUAGGCUCAUCUCCCUGAGAGUGUGCAUUACAAAUAUCAUAUUGCUUGAACAUCAUAAGUAUUAAACACUAAGCAGCACUCCCUCAGAACAGAGGAUAUGCAGAUGGAGGAAAGCAGAGUUAGCGAUAUUCAGAAAUGAAAAAACGGUAAACGGUCUACCUACAGUAUUAUCCUUCCAGCAUGAAGAUGUGAGUACAUAAUAAGUAGCAUCAGCACAAGAUAGACAGAAACGACACUCCAAAAGAAAAAGAAAAAGGGAAUAGUGUGUACAUUACAAGGAACUGUUUGUCUGCAUUGACAACAGAAGCUAUGCUCAAAAAUUGAUAUUGUUGGUACAGGAAAUGUGCCAUACAUCAUAUAAACAUACACAAUUACACACAUGAUACUCAGAUCACAACUGACUUCCAAAGCUAAUUAACAAACAGAGUCACAUUUCUACUGUAGCAAUCGCCAAAGGUGACUGAUUUAUCCAUGCUCGCUUAAAAUUCCUUUCAGACUUGUAUCGACAAGACAAAGCGGUGGCAUUUCAGUUUACAACACUAGAGAUCUCUCAGAAAGGGAACCACAAACCGUACAUAACAAGGGCAACUGACAAACAAGUCACAAAGCAUUAUCAACCUCUGAAAUUAAACUCGUAGGCGCACAAGCAAGCGCGAAUUCCGCACAUGAAGAGUGAAAAAUACCACGCCUUCAGCCACCUCGGUGGAGGUUCAUGGAGGCCAGGCCUCGCCUGCUUCUCCGCGAAAACGCAGAAAGUUGGACCAAAGCACAGCAAGUAGCCUCAGGCUGGCCACGGCGCAGCUCUCCGCCCAAAGCCGUGCGACCUAGGCGACAUCGACGGACGAGAUCUAGCGCCCUAACGCCAACACCGCAACGGAACGCGCCGAUCCAGGGCCCGAACAAGCAUGGGAGGCGGAGAAAUUUUCGGUCGACGCGUCACCAAAUCGGAGAGGACUCGGGGGAGGGGGGUCGGAAUGGGGAGGAUCACCUCGAUGUUGUGCUCCUCGAGCUGGGCGCGGAGCAGCUCCGCCUGCAGCUCGGCGGCGGUCAUGGUGGCGGGUAAAAGCUUGGCGGAGGGGAAAGUAAAACCCUAGCUUAGCUAGGAGGGAUUUGGGAGAUGGAGAGGGCAACAGGCGAAGCGAAUGCGAGGGGAGGAGGAAGAGAAGAGAAGAGACCGGCUUGACUCCUGUGGGGUUUUGGUGCCCCCUGGUGGUCAUCGGUGGGCGUAGACUGGGCCAAGACCGUGCCGUUUCCUUAGCCCAUCUUUGCAAUGUGGCCCAAUGAAAGCACAGUUUUGCUUCCGCAAGAGGCAUGGUUUUGCUUAGUUGAGAGGCACGGCCGUGUCUCUCGAAAACGGAAAAAAACAUGUUUUCCCUUUUUUAUCCUUUCGUGAGAGGCAUGACUUUGCUUACUCGAGAGACACAAUUAUGCCUCUCAGAAACGAAAAAAAAACAUGUGUUUCUCUUUUAUUUGUCCUUCUAUAAGAGGCAUGGUUUUGCUUCCACAAGAGGCACGGCCGUCCUUCUCGGAAACGGCUUUCGGAAAAGAAAAAAUGUGCUCCCAGUUCAGUUUUUUGUGGAAAAAAAGUUCGUCAAAACCUAGCAACAUGGCAUCUAGUUUUGAAGAUCUCGGCGUGAGGAAUCCAACGGUGAAAAAUGUUUGAGAUUUGGACGCACGAUUUAUGAAACAAAACGUUUUGAAAUAAAUGGAUCUACGAAAAAGGAGAAAACUCGAAAAUUGCGACAAAUGGCGCACAUGCAGCGCGCUAAUUGUCCCGACCUGAAAAGGUGAGAGUGAUCUUUGGAAGGUGUACUCCCUAAUUGAUGAUUUCGCCUCCAAAGAGUAGGUAUUAGGCGAAAUCUCUAUUCACUGCAUUCUACGACAAACUGUCGAGCUUUUGCAUAGGUGGGACGCCGAGCGAACGGGGAAGAGCCGGCCCACUUUUGCAUUGAGAAGGAUCCUAUUUUGGGAACCUUUUGCAAUGUCCCCUGUCGGUUAUACCUGUUUUGUGAACCUCCCAGAAGGUUCCUAACCUGUUUUUCCUUCUGGUUUUUAAUUUCGUCAUUUCUUUUUUGUCAUUUUACCUUUUUUCUUUUUUAAAAAAUGUUCAGCAAUUCCAUUUCUAUUGUUCAAAAUUUCAAAAGCUGUCUGAAAAUUACAAAACAUGUUCCGUUCCAAAUUUUGUUCAUAAAAUUAAAAAAUGUUCGCAUUUUCGGAAAAUGUUCAGGUAUUUCACGUAAGGUUCCCGUUUUACAAAUAUGCUCAUAAAUUCAAAAAGUGUUUGCAUUUUUUAAAAUGUUCGGUCCUUUCAAAAAAUGUUCUUAUUUUUUUUGCAAAUAUUGUUCUAUGUUUUAGAAAAUGGUGUUUUUUUUCAAAUUUGUUCAUAGACGCAAAAAUUGUUCGCAUUUUCCAAAUAUGUUUGUGUUUUUCAAAAAAUGUUCAGAAAUUAAUUGCUGUUUCCCAUUUUUCAAAUUUAUUCAUAAACUAUAAAAGUGUUUGAGUUUUAAAAAAUAUGAUGGCAUUCGUAAAAAUUGUUCAGAAUUUUUAGAAAAAUUUCCCGUUUAAAAAAAAAAGAUUAAAAGAUUGUUUGUGUUUUCCCAAAAAAAAUCAGUAAUUCAAACAAAAUAAAAAUAUGUUCAUAAAUGCAAAAGGUGUUUAAGUUUUCAAAAAAUAUUCUUGUUUUUCUAAAUUGUUCAGAAUUUCAAAAAAUGUUCCUGUUUCUAAAACUUUUUUAAAUUAAAAAAAUGUUUGCACUUUUUUAAAAAGUUUACAUUUUACUCGUGUUGUUUAGAAAACAUUCUUAUUUUCAAGAAAUACUUUCCUUUGAAAAAAUUAUUUAGAGUUUUCCAAGAAUAGUCCAAAAUUUCAAUAGUGUUCGGAUCUACCAGGGAAUAUAGUUCUCAAACUUUCGUGUUGUGUAUUUGUCGCGCUGUCAGGUCAACUAGUUUCUUUGCCCGCAUACACUCAUCUGGUCUAGAGUUCGUAUCGUGUUGGAGGAACGCCUUUUCUUGGACUUUACACCGUGCAAGUACAGGUCGCAGUGGCCCGCCUAGUCGAGGAUUCUGCCCAUGUGUCAUUGCCCUAUUUGUCGCAAAAUGCAACAUAUAUGAGCUCCCAUUAUUACGCCUGCCUAGUAGCCACCAAAGCUGGCCAAACGGGCUGGGCCAACAAGGCCACACCACGAGCACGCCCGCAUGGCCCGCCAUGGGCCAGGCACGGCAUGCCUUGGGGUAUGCCUGCACUUGGAGGCUGGGCACGCGGGCCGGCAGGGCACUCGAGCCGGCCUGGCACAGCCUGUUUAUUUACUUUUUAUUUUUUUAGAUUUUUUCUAGGUAUGUUCUAAAAUCCAGCCCAAUAGGCCUAAGAAACAGCACGAUAGGCUGCAAAAUGUGCAGUCUAGCAUGCUAAACAUGCCAUGGGUUGCCCCGUUUAUUAGCUAGGCCGUGCCUGGGUUGGAGGACACAACACACGGGCUGGAAUGACACGGCCCGUCUAAUAACUGUGCCAUGGCGAGCCGUGCCGUGCAGGCCCGAUUAGGGCGGGCCUGGUCGUGCCGGCAAGUAUGGCCAGCUCUGAUAGCCACAACUUAUCUGUUGACGUCAUAUUACUUUUGUUUUUAUUUUUUCUUCCUUUUUUAUUCAUAAUUUUAUUUUACUUUUUUUAAUUUAUUUAAACUUCCAAUUAUUCUAAAUGUAUAUAUGGAAAAAAUGUUUUACAUAAAUUAUAAGAAAUAUUGAUCUUGUAUUUAGAAAAUGUUAAACGUGCAUAUAAAAAUGUUUUUGAUGUAUAAGAAAGAUGUACAACUGUGAAUCAAAAAAUGUAGAAAAUGUUAAUCAUGUGUGUGAAAAAAAUUCAUCAUGUGUACGAAAAUGUUUAUACAUUGUAAAAUAUAAGUUCAUGUAAUUAAAGCAAUGUUUCAUACACUAAAACAUGUAGGUUAGAUUUACGAAAAUGAUCAGAAGUUUCUUUCCUUUAUAUUUACAAAGAUGUUCACAAGUUUCUUUUUUCCCACUAAACGGAAACUUGUUAACAUUUUUGAAGAUGUAACGUUUUGCAAGUUUCAAAAAUGUGUUCAGGAAAUUUUUCAAAAAAAUGUGUGUACAAUGUAAAAAGAGAAGUUUGCAUAGUUCAGAAAAAUGGUUUUAUCAAUAAAAAAUGUUCAAACCUUUAUUAGAACAAUAACAGGUAUUUGAAAAAAAUGUUCAAAACAUAUUUUUUUAAUGAAAAAAUGUUAAAAAUUUAUAAAAAAUGCUUUAGACGUAUACGAAAAAUAUACUACGUGUAUGAGAAAAUGGAGAUCAACACGUGACGGGAGUUGCUACCAGUGAAGCGAACUCGUCCACGGACUUAUCGUCGUCCAUGACCAAGGUCUCAUAGUUUCUUAGGGAAGUUUGGAGAUUCACUUGCUUGACGUGGGUGUGCCUCUCGAACAUGAGCUUCAAAGCAUCCCACGCCCCUUUCGUCAUUACUUUUGGCGAUCAGGUGCUGAAGCGCAUCUAUCCUAGGUCCUAGCUGGCUCAUGGAUAUCGUCUAGUGGCGAGAAUUCGUCGUUGGCCGCGUGGAAGGAGGAGGAAGGAAGAAGGACAAAGGGUAGAAAAGGAAGAACUAUAGAUGUAGUAUCAUACACUAGUAUCAUAUGCAUGAUACUAGUAUAUGAUAUUCUCCACUAUGACCAGCCUCAUUGUGGAUUGCAUGCAUCCAGGAGGACCUUCAUUCAUGUCUGGACCUGAGCGCAGUCGUGCCUGGAUGGGGCGGUGAGGUGCUGCCACUUGUGUGAACGCAGUGGACAAGAGAAGUGUUGACUAAUCAACUGUAGUACCAAUACAAUCUCGCCGACAGCGCCAUAAAUGAAACGACUAUGAUCGAGCGAGCCCAACCAAAAAUCAUUAUUGGUGCCGGAGUACGGAGCAUACGAUACCCAUCGCACGCACGGCGCUCAUCGUUACCGCAUUAACUAAUCCCAACUUAAUCUUACUACACCCUAACAACAAAAUUAACGAGAGACGUUACAACAUCACCAGGCUACUCCAAAUGAGGCACAGUACGGCGCAACAUCACCACGCUCGUGCGUCCCGAUCUUCUAGAGUGCCGGAGCAGAGCGGUCAGGUCGGCGGCUGGUGGGUCGCGCCCGCCUACUGCAUGGUUCAACCGACGGCGACGGCGGACGCGAGCGUGGCGAUGGAUGGCGUCUCCCCUCGUCAAUCCCCGACAGCGAGCUUCCAACCCCGAUCCAGCGACCGCCAGCGACCCGACCUCCCGUCCCGUGCAGCACUUCUCCCCGACCCACCCGCUGACAGGUGGGCCACGGCGAGCCGCGCCCCACGAGGCAGCGGCGCCGUGGCGACGAGGCAGUGGGCUCCUUCAUGGCGCUGUUAUUCCGUCCGCGCCGCCGGUCGCCGUCGGGCGCGCCCGCUGAGCGAGGGCUCGGUACAGGAGGCUCGUGCACCGGGUCCACGAGCGAUUCAUCAGCUCACUCUUCCCGCGGUGCACGGGACCUGGCGCCGGGGCGUGGGAGAGUGACCGGACGCUCACGGGCCUCUCCGUCUCCGAGUCCGGCGGUCGCUCACCCGUCCAGCCAGCUGCGUGGAGCCUCUCACAGGAUCGGCUGCGCCACCGCAUCGGUGCCAUCCAACAUUCUUUGCUUGUGUUGCGUGGAUGAUGGAUAGGCACGGCUAUGCUUUUCCAAAACCAAGUGAAACUCGAGGCUCGGGAGUCGUUACAGAUUGAUUUGUUUUUUCGUCUGACUCGUGAUCGACUUGAAACUAAAUGAAAUGAGCUGAAUAUGGACAGUUUACAACAUAAUCUUGAUUUGUAUUUAAAGAAAACAGGAUAAUUUACUAUCAAAUCAGUCGUGUACAAUUUUUCUUCAUUUUAUCUUGUACUAGCAAACGUGAAAAACUUAACUAAGCGCGAAAACAUUUAGGCCUCAAUAUGUUAAGUGGCCAGCCAUGUGUUAAAUGCAUGUCCUCUUAUUUCCUGCUAAAGUUUGAGAGCAGUCAUACCUUCGUUUUCUUCUUUUGCUAGUUCAUCGAUGUUCUCUUUAUUUUUGAUUUUCUUGGUUGUGACAUGUUACAUGUAAUCAGCGAGUCGGUUGGUCAUCAGUAGAAGCACUGUGAAGCACACGAGGCCACUGGCUCGGUUUGGCUUAAAGAACGUGUUGGUUGCGCUAGCAUGUGGGGGGUCGACUCAAGGAUAUAAAAUGUUAGAUACAAUACAUCUUUUUAAAGUUCCCAUCACAAUAGUAAAGUUCUCUACAACUUUACAUGGUUCAAUUAACGAUCAGUAUGAGAAGGAGUUGGUUUCUAUCAUGGCCGUUGAUCUUAGACUAUUCAUUUUGGAUACCGAAAUACAACUGGCUAUUUCAUGGUAAUGCAUAUACUAAAGACAAAUCAGAAAUGUCAAUGGAGAUUUCUUUAUUCUUUCAAACUGUAAUCAUGCAUGCCAUUUGCAAAACAUAGUUCGGCGCUGCACCUAGUUGCAAUGUCACCGUCUACUUCAAUUUGCUUCUUCAUCUCAACUAGGUUCAUUGUAUAUCCUCUCUUUACAUGUCUACUUAAUCCGCUAUCAUCUCAUACGGUAUUAUACAACAACUUUUAUGAACCAACUAUUCAUCCCUCCCAUACGGGAGCGGCUAGGGCCAAGCUUCAUCCCCUCUAGGCUCCGCCGACGAGCUCAUGGACUCGCCUCCUCUCUAUCCGUUGAUCCGACGGUUAGCGGUGGGGAGGGGAGUCCCAAUAAAUCCUCUAAGCUCCCACGCAUGUUCUUCAUCAUUUACUUGUUUUGAUCCAUGUGAUAGACAAACUUGAAAAUCCUCUCACAAUUGUUGUAGUUGUGAAUAACAUUAAAAGGUUGGCAAGGAUGACAUAUGUAUUUCAAACAUGAUGACGUGCAUUUGAGAACAAAAUUGGCAUGAUUGAUUCGGUUUUUUUCACAUAAGAGCAUGCAGCUUGCUGAUCCUCAGAUGUUAAAAUGCCUAGGAAACCUACAUGCCAAUACUAGUCCGAGACAUACAACCUACAACCAUGAAAUUGCAACAUUCAAGAUAACAUGACAAAUGGAUUGAUUUGCAACCCAACACCCUAUAAUCAGGACACAAUUCCACCUAGCAACACCUAGUUAGUUAACUCCAUGAUAGCGCUAACAACGUCACCAUCCUCAGCCUUGAGCCCUUGCACGCCCUGGAUACACGAAGGCUUGCGUCAUCACGAUCUCGAUGUAGUUCUUGUUAACGCUUAUGUAUAGACCUCCUCGUUGGCCCAGGCUACUACAGAAGGAUCACCCUCCGAGACGAUGCUACUCGGGCCCAACACCUUGAACUGCUCUACCGCCUAUGUCCGCAGCUGAUUGCUACGGUCUCCUUCUUCGCAUCCUCGAACGUGGUGUUGAUCUGUGAGUAUCGGCUCUUGCAGACAUAUGGUUUGGAGAUGGCGAACAUAAGCCUGCAAUGGUGUGGCGAAGUUGAGAAAAUGAAACAACAUAUGUGUUUACCUUGGAUGCGAAAGCCAAUGAAUUCAUGCACCAUGAUGUUGAGAUUUUCUAUUUGAUGGUCUAUUUAUUUCAAAUUGGAUUUAGAUGAUGUGGGGUAAGAUUUGCAACCUAGCAGGGAGCAAAAAGAAAAAAAAGGCUACAAACAAGCAGGACAACAGUGGGCUAUCCUGUUAACGCAAACAUGCAUGAUCCGUCGAUUUUCAUCUUGAAGGCAACGUGGAACUACGAGGGCCGGGAGGCGAAGAUUCAAGCAUUUUCAACUUCCACAAAUUGUAGAUGGUGUAUGAGACUACUACAUUGGGUACAUCUCUACCUUUUUGUAUAGGAUCCGAAUGCACCCUUCCCACCAUCUGGACAAAUGUGUGUUGAGUUUAAAUGCUAUGCUGAUCCUGGACAAUGGAGCAGAGCACACAUGUGUAGCCAAGCCUUGGUCACAAAUAUUAAGGGAUGGAUAGCUAAUUCUCUCACCAACUUUCCUUAGUGUAAGCAUGGCCGACCCUUAUAAAACACACACUCCUCAGCUAAACAAACAUGAUGGGGGUCGAGGCUCCCGAGACAGAGGAACUUCAGAUAAAUAGUGAGGGUGGAUGGAUGCAAUCCAUUAUGAAAUAAGAAUGGGGGGCAUAUGGAAACACAUCAUCUCCCAAAAUCAUAUGGGGCAUAGGAAAACUGAAAAAACCAGGCAUUUGCAAAGAGAGAUGGCAGGGGAACACAAACGUGAACACGAAGGAGUGAACAUGAGAAGAUGAAAACCCUUCAAGAAUAGUCCCAAGAAAGAGGGCGACAUGUGAAGCAUUGCGGCUUGGACUCGAGGAGUUUCAGAAACUAGCGAAGGAGAAAGCGUUGGCUAUUGCGAGACACCUUCCUAAGGAACAUGACCCCAUCGCCUAACGCCUGGUCGGGCUCCCCUCCUCAAUCCUCAAUUAGUCAAUUGACUUCCUCAUCAGCUCCAGCGACUACGACGGCCCUCCGGAUGCCGAUGCAUACUACCACCGCUACAAAGACGACAAGGGGAAGGGCUAAGCAAAGAAGUGUCAAAAUUUAUCCCAAUCUAUUAUCAACUCGUUUCUAGUUUAUUGUGCCACAUCACUCCUUAGCCUUGGUAUGAUUUCUGGAUCGAUCACCUUCUGAAAGAUUGCAUUGAGGAAUGCACAUAGCUUCACAAUGGCUAAUCGGACGUUUUCCGGUAGAAGCCCCCUCAAUGCAACCGGAAGCAGUUGCGUCAUAAUCACGUGGCAGUCAUGAGACUUUAGGUUCUGCAACUUUUUCUCUGGCAUAUUUAUUAUUCCCUUUAUAUUCAACGAGAAGCCAGUCGGGACCUUCAUACUGAGCAGGCAUUCAAAGAAGAUUUCUUUCUCUUCUUUCGUAAGAGCGUAGCUGGCAGGACCUUCAUGCUGCUUCGGAGGCAUGCCGUCUUUUUCGUGCAAACGUUGCAGGUCCUCCCGUGCCUCAGGUGUAUCUUUUAUCUUCCCAUACACGCCCAAGAAGCCUAGCAGGUUCACGCAAAGGUUCUUCGUCACGUGCAUCACGUCGAUUGAAGAGCGGACCUCUAGCACUUUCCAGUAGGGUAGGUCCCAAAAUAUAGAUUUCUUCUUCCACAUGGGUGCGUGUCCCUCAGCGUCAUUCGGAACAGCUAGUCCGCCGGGACCCUUUCCAAAGAUUACGUGUAAAUCAUUGACCAUAGCAAGUACGUGAUCACCGGUACGCAUGGCGGGCUUCUUCCGGUGAUCUGCCUCGCCUUUGAAAUGCUUGCCUUUCUUUCGACAUUGAUGGUUGGUCGGAAGAAAUCGACGAUGGCCCAGGUACACAUUCUUCCUGCUUUUGUCCAGGUAUAUACUUUCAGUGUCAUCUGAACAGUGCAUGCAUGCGUGGUAUCCCUUGUUUGUCUGUCCUGAAAGGUUACUAAGAGCGGGCCAAUCGUUGACGGUUACAAACAGCAACGCGUGCAGGUUAAAUUCCUCCUGUUUGUGCUCAUCCCACGUACGUACAACGUUUCCAUUCCACAGCUGUAAAAGUUCUUCAACUAAUGGCCUUAGGCACACAUCAAUGUCGUUGCCGGGUUGCUUAGGGCCUUGGAUGAGAACUGACAUCAUAAUGAACUUCCGCUUCAUGCACAUCCAAGGAGGAAGGUUAUACAUACAUAGAGUCACGGGCCAAGUGCUGUGAUUGCUGCUCUGCUCCCCGAAAGGAUUGAUGCCAUCCGCGCUUAAACCAAACCAUACGUUCCUUGGGUCAGCUGCAAACUCAGCCCAGUACUUUCUCUCGAUUUUUCUCCACUGCGACCCGUCAGCGGGUGCUCCCAACUUCCCGUCUUUCUUACGGUCCUCACUGUGCCAUCGCAUCAACUUGGCAUGCUCUUCGUUUCUGAACAGACGUUUCAACCGUGGUAUUAUAGGAGCAUACCACAUCACCUUCGCAGGAACCCUCUUCCUGGGGGGCUCGCCGUCAACAUCACCAGGGUCAUCUCGUCUGAUCUUAUACCGCAAUGCACCGCAUACCGGGCAUGUGUUCAGAUCCUUGUACGCACCGCGGUAGAGGAUGCAGUCAUUAGGGCAUGCAUGUAUCUUCUGCACCUCCAAUCCUAGAGGGCAUACGACCUUCUUUGCUGCGUAUGUACUGUCGGGCAAUUCGUUAUCCUCUGGAAGCUUCUUCUUCAAUAUUUUCAAUAGCUUCUCAAAUCCUUUGUCAGGCACAACAUUCUUUGCCUUCCACUGCAGCAAUUCCAGUACGGUACCGAGCUUUGUGUUGCCAUCUUCGCAAUUAGGGUACAACCCUUUUUUGUGAUCCUCUAACAUGCGAUCGAACUUCAGCUUCUCCUUUUGACUUUCGCAUUACGUCCUUGCAUCGACUAUGACCCGACGGAGAUCAUCAUCAUCGGGCACUGGUUCCUCUUGAUCUUCAGCAGCUUCCCCCCUUGCAGCAUCAUUGGGCACAUCGUCUGGUUCCUCUUGAUCUUCAGCAGCUUCCACCGUUGCAGCAUCACCGUAUUCAGGGGGCACAUAGUUGUCAUCGUCCUCUUCUUCUUCGCCGUCUUCCAUCAUAACCCCUAUUUCUCCGUGCCUCGUCCAAACAUUAUAGUGUGGCAUGAAACCCUUGUAAAGAAGGUGGGUGUGAAGGAUUUUCCAGUCAGAGUAAGACUUCGUAUUCCCACAUAUAGGGCAUGGACAACACAUAAAACCAUUCUGCUCGUUUGCCUCAGUCACUUCGAGAAAAUCAUGCACGCCCUUAAUGUACUCGGAGGUGUGUCUGUCACCGUACAUCCAUUGCCGGUUCAUCUGCGUGCAUUAUAUAUAAUUAAGUGUGUCAAAAACCAUUACAGAACAUCAUGAAUAGAUAAUUAAGUGACCAAAUUAAUAGAAGUUCAUCAUCACAUUAAAACCAAAGUACAUACAUAGUUCUCAUCUAACAACAUAUAUAUAGCUCUCCAGAGCAUCUAAUUAAUUAAACCAUACAUUGAAACUAUGUAAAACAUUUCAAUGCGAAAACAAAUGCGAUCAUAAUCGCAACCAAGGUAACAAUUGUUCCAACGACAUAAUGAUACCAAGCCUCGGUAUGAAUGACAUAUUUUCUAAUCUUUCUAAUCUUCAAGCGCAUUGCAUCCAUCUUGAUCUUGUGAUCAUCGACGACAUCCGCAACAUGCAACUCCAAUAUCAUCUUCUCCUCCUCAAUUUUUUUUAUUUUUUCCUUCAAGUAAUUAUUUUCUUCUUCAACUAAAUUUAACCUCUCGACAAUAGGGUCGGUUAGAAUUUCCGGUUCAACCACCUCCUAGAUAAAUAAAAUCUAUGUCACGUUGGUCGGUAUAUUUGUCAUAAACAAUAAAUGAACCAAAUAGUUAUAAAAAGCUAAUAUAUACCACAUCCGAAUCAUAGACAGGAUGAGGGCCGACGGGGGCGGAUACCAAAACCAUCGCACUAUGUAAUAAGAAGGAAUAAUAAAAGUAACAAAAUUAGACAAGUAACUAUCUAAAGUAAGAAUUUUUUCCUUUCAGAAAGAAGAUAAGAACAAGAGGCUCACCACGGUGGUGUUGGCGACGAGAUCGGCGCGGGCGAUUGACGGCGGUGAAGACGGGGACGGGACGUGACGGACCGCUAAACCUAGACAAAUCUCGGGGAAAAUGGAGCUUGGAGGUCGAGUUUCGAGAGAACAAAGAUUAACUAGUGUGGCUCAGACAUUUCAUCGAACACCUCAUGUGCAUAGGAGGUGAGCUAGAGCACCCAAAUGCCCUCCCCUCGCCGGCCAGAAAAAACAGAGCACUGUGGAGUGCUCUGCUGUGGCGAUGGGGUAUAUAUAGGGAACUCUUUGGUCCCGGUUCGUGGCACCAACCGGGACCAAAGGCCUUUGGUCCCGGUUGGUGCCAUGAACCGGGACCAAUGCCCCUUUAGUCCCGGGCCUUUGGUCCCGGUUGGUGCCAUGAACCGGGACCAAUGCCCCCUUUAGUCCCGGUUGGUGGCACCAACCGGGACCAAAGGCCUUGUGCUGCCCCGCGUCAAAAGUUUAGUCCCACCUCGCUAGUUGAGAGAGCUCGAGAGUGGUUUAUAAGCGCUGCUGCGCCCACCCUCUCGAACUACUCUCAACUGCAGGCUUUCAGGCCUAACUGUUCUCUUUGCCUGUGGGGCCUACUGGGCCUUCUGCGGGCCUGAAUCCUGGCCCAUGGAUGGGUUUCUAGUCGUAUUCAGGCCGUGGUGGCCCAGUAGGUGGCAUAAUUUUUUUCCUCUGUUUUUUUCUCUUUUGCUUUAUUUGUUUUGUUUUGUUUGUACUUACAACAAAAAACUUAUUUAUUUUAUUUCUAAUUACUUAUGUAUUUUACUUUAAUUAUUUUAUUUUUAUUUAUUUUACUGCUGCUAUUUUUAUUUAUUUUACUGCUGCUAUUUUUACUUAAUUUAUUAAGGUUUAUUUAUUUUAGUUACUAUAGUUUAUUUUAUUUUAUUUUAUUAAGGUUUAUUUAGUUUUAUUUAUUUUAUUAAGGUUUAUUUAUUUUAUAAAUAUAAAAAAAUGAACAUAGAUGCGCUUAUAGAGAAAAUUCAACCUAAAUUCAUAAUAAAUUUCUAUGAAAUUUAAUGUGAAUUUAGGUCAAAUUCCCUGUAUAAGGGCAUCUAUUUUCACUUUAAGAGGAGCUCAACAAGGCAGAGAGGGACGGGCUUAUAAACUGGUGUGAGCGCCCUUCGGUUGGCGAGGUGGGACUAAACACUGGCCGCAACUAGGACCAGCCCUUUAGUCCCGGUUUGUGGUAGGAACCGGGACUAAAGGGUUGUGGGCCAGGAGCGUGGCCCAUUGGUCCCGGUUUGUCCCACCAACCGGGACCAAAGGGUCCGGACGAACCGGGACCAAUGCCCCCACGAGGCCCGGCAGGCCCCUGGCCGCACGAACCGGGACCAAUGCUCACAUUAGUCCCAGUUCGUGACUGAACCGGGACUAAUGUGAAUAUUGCCCUGUGACCAAAGCCCAGUUUUCUACUAGUGUUCCUUCCUCCGGUUGUAUAAUGAACUUGCCAAUCCGUUCGUAUCAAUGCUAUAAUUUAUCUAUGUUGUCUGUACAUACAUUAUAUGGUGUUGUAUGGAUUUGAAGGUUUGGAUAGGAGAGGGUUGGCUGUAGACAUGGACAAAUAAUGGGCCAGCCGGCACUAUCCACGGACAGUAGUUAGAGAUGUAACACGAAGAAAACCUCCUAUUCUCCAGAUGCAACAUUAAAUAUGACACGACCAAAGACUAUGAUCUAAUAUCCUCCCUUAUAAACGAAUGCUAACUACAAGUUUGCCCCCAGCUCGCAUGUAACUCACGGCCAUGGCCCCCAGCAAUCAUUAGGUUGGUCAUAAUGAGAGUACAUAGCUAGUAUCAUGUAUGUCAACUAGAUUUUUCUAUUGAGGUGUCACAUAAUUAAAUAAGGAAAUAGAGGAUUGAAUAUCAUGGUAUCAUACCGUAUCAUAUUAAAUGAUGUGUUAGUAUGUGUUAUACAUGAAAAAAAUGAGAUCACUAUGAUACUAUUCACUCCAAUCUCCGUCUCCUCAUCUCCCUGAAACACCCCCUUCCGAUCAAAUCUGGAGCUCCAUAGCGCAAUGCUCGACGGCGGAUACGACAACGAUGACCCCGUCGACUGGGAGUCAUUGUUCCGUGAGGCGGCGGCGGGCGACGACGAAAAUGUCGGCAGCGGGAGCACGCUGCGUCGGUCGCGGCUGGAUAAGGGCGGAAGCGAAAGCUACGGCUCCACGCUAUCCACCAUCGCCCGACGACGCAGUGCAGGCGAUGGCGCCCCGUUGCGUCUGCGGAACUCCGGGCCCUCCGCGCCCCUUCCGGUCCGCCGCCCCAAUGCCUACUCCGAGCGCUCGUCUACCUGCUCCGGCUCGUGCCACCGGCCACAUUUGGGUCCUCGUUCCUGGCCGACCCCAUCGGGGUUGUGGAUGUCCAAAUCCGAAGUUCGUAGCGCACGCCGUGAGAGGUAGCGGGAGAGGGAGAGUGGCGACGAUAGAAGCCAUGUCCUCCCGCCAGUUGCGCAUGAGCGCGCUGGUAGGUCGAAUGACUAGCUCCUUGCGCAUGUCCUCUGCCUCUCGCUCACUGCGGCAGCGACUGACACGCGACGUCUCCAUCGCACGAACGCCAAGGCGCUCUGGCUCGCCAUUGAUCAGUCUGAGCGCGAGGCAAUGGUGGAUGCCACGACCAAAGCCAACGGGCCCAGCAAGCGAAGGAGCAGACGUGUGUCCUCCGUUGGUUGACCGGCGUCAUCUCCUCCGACGACGACUCUCAUGUCUCCCACGACGAUGCCCCUCCCGUUGCCAAUGCCUACACGUAGGUCUACAGUCGCACCAGCAACCUCAAGGUGAAGGGACCAAUGGGGAAGUGGUGAUAUCCCGACGCCCCUAUCUGUCUCCGUUUUCAUAAAUGUCCAUCAACGUAGUUUCUCAUGUUACAUGGGUUGCAUUGUUUUGAGGGGCUGAAUUUAAGGUAUCCGGUUGUUUGACGUGGCCAUGUGAGAGUAAAACCGGUCACUGUCUGCGGACUGGUCCGCGAACAUUUCUGUAGAUGCUCCUAGCUCUGCAUAUGUGCCCUCCAUGUCAGAUAUGACCUCUGUCACUGAAUUCAACCAAAAUCUCUUCCAGUUCUGUGCUAGUGGGAACCGAGAUUAACACCAAUGUACCACUAGUAGCACGUUGCAAGCUCGUCACUGCAUUAACUAAUCCUGACCUCAAUCGGUCACCAUUCAUAACAACUACUAGAUUAAGACAAGUAAGAGCCGUUCGAAUGUCGAAGAUGGCCACAAAUGAAGUACAGUAGGCCAAACCCCAAACAGGGCUGCGCGCGUGCGUCCCGAUCUUCUAGAGAGGCGGAGCAGAGCAUGCGGUGAGGUCAGGUCGCGCCUGCCCUGCUGCAUGGUCCGAACGAUGGCGACGGCGGACGCGAGCGUGGCGAUGGAUGGCGUCUCCCCUCGUCAAUCCCCGACAGCGAGCUCCCAACCCCGAUCCAGCGACCGCCAUGCUCUGCCCACCACAUGGCUCGGUUCAUCGGCGGCGCCGGUCGCCGUCGGGCGCGCCUGCUGGGCGAGGGUUCAGUACAGUCUCCUGCACCGGGUCCAUGAGCGACUCAUCAGCUCACUCUUCCGGGCUCGCUCCGUAGUACGGUGGCAACGGGUUCGUAAUUUACGCGAGGGCACGUGGCCGAGCUGGACAGACCCCGGAGAACCCGUCCGUCCUUGCGGGCGUGCGUGCACCCGCUCCCGUGGACCCGACAAUCCCACUCGCUGACCGCUGGCAGGGACGAAUCCAAGGGGGGACGAGGGGGGGGCGAGACCCCCCCUAACGAUCUCAUUUUACUCGGUAGCGAUUAGCAGGUCGGUAGAAAAAAGUGAUAUUUAGCUAAUAUCGCCCCCCCUGACCACCUGAAGCCCAACUAAAUCACAAAGCCCAUCUUUAACACCCCGCAGGAAAUAGCCCAGCACGAAGGGAGACGGUCAGAUCGUUUGAUUUUCCAUCGUGCGAUGCCUGUCGCCAAGGUCUAGCUGUCUAGGGUAGUUCCUGACCAGCGCCGUUUCAACCUGAGUCCAUGACCAGCGCCGUUUCAAUCUGAGCUCUAGGGCAGUUCAUGACCAGCGCCGUUUCAGUUUGAGCGGAGAAUCCUUGCUUGGACGAGAUCGCCUCUAACGUGAACGAGGGCCAUCUUGCGCGGACGCGCGGCCGGCCGGCCGCGCAACCAGUGGAGAGAAGCGGCGACCAAGGAAAGGCUUAGGUUAGUCUGUUUCUCACUCAUUGGUUUGUCCUUGCUUAUGUUUCUAAAUCAGAUUAAUGGAUGCCUUCAGAACUACACAAGUCGAAUGGUAGUAACUGUAUAAAAGUAAAAGAUUGGGGAUAUAUCCCUGUACCCAUCGGACAAGCUUUUGCAUUGUUUAUCACAUCCAAUAGUAGAAAGAUUUAGUUCAUUAACACGUGAAUUGCUUUGGCCUUUGCUUGAUGGUAACUUUUGAUAAAAAUUCAACUUGCUCACAGCAGAACAUGGUUUGACGAAGAUUUAGUUCGUUAACUAGGCUGUCUGUCGGCUUCUAUUUUUUCACGACUCUCUACACUAGAGAGGAAUUUUUUUUGCCCCCCCAUGUUCAAAUCCUGGCUCCGUCCCUGACCGCCGGGCCAAGGGGGCCGGCGCCACGGGCGACGAGAGCGCCGGUGCACGGGACCGGGCGCAGAGGCGCUCGCGGGAGAGCAGGCGGUCACGGGCCUCUCCGAGUCCGGCGGUCGCUCACCCGUCCAGCCAGCUACGUGGAGGCAGACGAUCGGCUGCGCCUGCGCCACCGCAUCGGUGCGACGCCAACAUCCUUCGCUUGCGCGGUUGAUGGAUGGAUAGGGACGAACGGCUUUGCUUCUCCGAAAGCGGCGUCCCACGUUAGAGCAAUUAUUAGUUUUUGGUUUUCUUGGCAGUGACAAGUAGUCGGCGAGCGAGUUGCUCAUCAGGGAUUAAACAACGCGUUGAUUGCGCUGGCCCGUGGACUGCCGACUCAAGGUUAAACUGAUAGUAUGAAAGGUCUUCUUUUAGUUACCGGCAAAAAGGAAAAAAAAAUCUUCAUACUACAAAGUGAACAUUAGCUCUAAAUUUGUUUUACAUAAUAUAAUUUUAUGAAUUUUGUGUGCAAACAAUUACUCCCUCCGAUCCAUUGAUUGGAUCAGAUGGAUAAUACUCGGUAUGAGAUCUUUCAGGAUGCACCAACUUACCUCUAGGCUUUAGAUAGGUAGGAGUUGGCUUGAAUCAUGGCCGAUGAUCUUAGACUAUUCAUUUCAGAUACCAAAAUACAAACCUGCUACUCUAUGUUAAUAUUAUCAUUUCAAACUGUAAUCAUACAUGCUAUUUUUAGAACAUAGUUCGUGGCUACACCUAAUCCAAUGUUCACCCUCUACUUCAACUAAAUGAUACCCCACGCAUCGCCGCGGGAAACGGUUGCAAUCUAUUUCAGUCAGAUUUGACUGUGUAGAAUAUAAAUAUUUAAAUUAAUAACACGUGAAUCAUAAUUAAAAAUACAUAUGACUUAUUAUAUUUUAUUAUGUAUAUUUGUAAAUAUUAUUGAAUAUAAGUAGAAUAAUAAAGUGAAAGGUAUUUUUUAUGCAUGGUUGCAUGUUGCGGUGGGCCUUAUCCCGUCUAUAAUUGUAUACGAUAUGGCAUGCUUGUAUGUUGAUAUUAAUAAGUUAACGAGAUGACUCUCUUAGGUAUAUGUAGGAUUUGUUCACCGUCCAUUGGCCCUCGAUGUCUCUUCAUCUCAACUGAACUCCACCAUCUCCCUUCUCAUCAAUCCACCUUCAUAUCAUAUAGUACCAUAGAAAAACUUUAAUGAACCGAUCAAUUCCUUCAUCUCCUGUGGCAGUAGCUAGGGCGAAGCUUGGUGCCAUCUAGGCUCCACUGCAAACCGGUGGACUCGCCUCCCCUCUAUCCGUAGCUCCGAUGGCUGGAGAUGGAGAGGGAAGUUUCAGUACAAUGGUCCGACUCGUAGUUCAUGUUAGGUUUUUUAGUCCUUGCAGUGACGACAUUGUGGUGGUCAUGUUUAAGUUGGUCUUCUGGGUUUCAGUUUUCUUCGAGUUGGUCUGUCAGAAUGGAGUCGUCGGAGCUCCUACGUAGAUUUUUGAUAUUUUCUCCAUCAUUUACUAGUUUUGAUCCAUGUGAAAAACAAAGUUAAAAAAUCCUAUCCCAAUUGUUGUAGUUGGGAAUAGAAUUUAAAAGCUAGCAAGAAUUACAUAUGUAUUGUCUCUAACAUGAUGCCAUGCGCUUGGAAACAAAAUUUGGCACAUUUGAUUCAUACUUUCCCAUAAGAGCAUGCAGCUUGCUGAUAUCUCAAAUGUUGAAACCCCUAACAUACCUACGUGCUAGUACUAGUUAGAGACACACAAGGUCCAGUUAUUCAGCUGUAACAUUCUAGAUGGCAUGGCAAAGAGACUGCUUUACCCAACAACAUAUUAUCAGGACACAAUUCCACCUUCCAACACCUAGUUAGUCAACUCCAUGAUGACAUUGAAAACAUCGUCAUCCUUAGCCUUAAGCGCAAUUAUGGCAUACAUAUUGUCUCAAACACGAUGACAUGCAUUUUCAAACAAAUUUUGGCACAACUAAUUCAGAUUUUUUUUUCCGUAAGGAGCAUGCAGGUUGUUCAUCCUUAAAUGUUAAAACACCUUAGAAACCUACAUGCCAGUACUAGCCAGAGACACACAACCUCCAAUUCUGCAACUACAACAUUCAAGACGACAUGGCAAAAAGACUGUUUUGAGACCCCCAACACCCUAUUAUCAUGACACAAUUCCACCUUCUACCACCUAGUUAGUCAACUCAGAGAUGACGCUGACAAUGUCGCAUCCUUAGCCCUGAGUGCCUCCACCCCUCUGGAUCUUGACAUGGAGCCCACCAUCAUCAUAAGCUCGACGUACUUAUUUUCAAUACUGGAUGUUGUCAACCUCCUCGUUUCCACGAGUUACUUCCAUAGAAGGCUCUUUCUUUAAGAUGAAGCUACUCAGGACUGAUGCCUUGAACUGCUCCAUCGCUUGAGUCUGUAGUUGAUUGCUCAGGGGUCGUCUAUUUUGGAAUCCCCGAACAUGAUGUACUUUUAUGAGUGUGGGCUUUCGAAGAUGGUUUGCUUGGAGAUGAGAAAUAUAACCUGCGAUUGUGUGGCAAAGUUGAAAAAAAAUGCAACAACACAUGCAUUUUUUUUCCUUAGAUGCAGAGAUCACUUGGAUGGAAGCACCAUGAUGUUGAGAUUUUCCAUUUUGUUAGAUGGUAUAUUGAUUUGAAAUUGUAGUUGAUUAAGUUAGGGAUAAGGUUUACAACCUAGCAGGAAUCGAAAAAGAAAACACAUGCUAUAAAGAAGAAAGAUGACAGUAGCCUAUCUUGUAAGAGCAAACAUGGAUGACAUCUAAUUUUCAAUCUCCAAGGCUAUCUACAAUUGCGAGGGUCAGGAGGUGAUGUCAUCAAAGAUUUGAGCAUUUUGCUCCUUCCAAAAAAUUCAGAUGACAUAUGAGGCUAUAAUGUUGAGCAUGUUUUUGCAUUUUCAUACUGGCUCCUAACACACCCUCUCCCACCAGCUUGGCAAAUCAGUGUUGAGUGUAAAGAAUAGGGUGAGCCCUAAGAUGGAGCAAAGCACACAUUUGUAGGUAAAGUAAGGCUCGAGAACGAAGCGGGAUCUUGGACCUGGUCACAAAAUUACCUAAUGGAUAGGUAAUGUGCUCACCAAACCUUGGUCAGUGUAAUGAUGACCGCCCCUUAUAAAAGACACACUCCUCUCGAUGGUCUCCUUGUAGCCUCUAAAUUUGUUCUCGAUAGUAAUAGAAACCAACCAACACAUGGUGGGGGUCGAGGCUCCCGAUCCAGAGAGCACCGGAGAUAAACAAUGGGGUUAGAUCGAUGCAAUACAUAAUGAAAUAAGAAUGAGAGGUAUAUGGAAACACAUCAUCUCAAAAAUUCAUAUGGUCCAUAGGCGGAAGCGAGAAUAAAGUAUUUGAUACCAGGGGAUGUAGGGGCAACACUAUUGUACGUUUAAAGGAGUGAACAUGAGAAUAUGAAAAUAUGUCGAGAGCACUCCAAAGUGAAAGAGCGACGCGAGGAAAUUGAAAAGGAACUGAGAUGAAUAUCACCAUGUAAAUACUGAAUUGGGCUUUUGGUGAACCUUUAUAUUAAAUCUGGGUUCUUUUUUUUUAAAGUCUUCUUCUCUGUGCACCAUUGUCGAUACUUUUUCACCAAUGAUCAAUUACAUAAAGGUGGGGCAACAUUACCCUUCUGAACCCCAAUCAUCCUCCUUCACUGCUCCUCCACCCGGUUUAUAUGUAGUGUGACCUAUCACACGUUACAAAACAUGCAACAAAUCAAGCAGUUAUUCACAAGCUAGACCAAAGUCACACUGCUUCUUCUUCUAAUUAAUAUGGUGCUAGCAUGGAAUGUAAGAACUGUGACAUGCACGUUAAGUUCGAUAGCCACACACCACCUAAUAGCAUCCACAACCCUCACACAUCAAAUGACCACACCUCCGUCAACCACACCAGACCUCGUUCCAUUCCCCCUACACCUUUUCCCCCAUCUGAAAUUCAAAUUCUCCAAACUGUCUGCAACCAAAAAUCCAGAUUAGGCAGAAGAAACAAAAUGGAACCAGCCAACAACCUAGGGGACAAAGCCUACCACAGAAGAAAAGCACCGAAAGUGCAAACAAAACAAUUAGCCCACACUAAUGCCAGAGCAAAGCAAAUGAUAAUCCGAUCCGAUCACCCCAUUUGCACACUACUCAAAGGGGCCGAAUAUUCAUGAGUUUAUUACAACAUAGUCAUCCAAAAAAGGAUGUCAAAUUAAAUGUUAUUGCACAAGGUAUUUUUUCGAUCUUUCCAUUGUCAUAUUGUUUUUUGUAUUCAACUAAUUUGGCUCAAUUUAUGAUGACGACAGACUAUGUUUGUACCCUAGAGAUAUUUUUUGAGGGAUGUACCCUAGAGAUAUUAAUAGGGUCAUCGCUUUAUAUGUAUACAUUGUCAAUUUGCCAUUUUGUUAUCAGUUUGCAUUACAAGUGAAGUGAAAUUGUUAUGCAACUGUGACCGUGUUAUAUUUUCUCUACCUGUAAAAUUUAAUAUGCAUUAUCUUUAUAUAAUUUCAGCAAAAUAUUUCAGAAGCCCGUGGCAAUGCACGGACAUUCUACUAGCAUAUAUAGGUGGGGGGUGGGGGAGAGGGGAGGAAGCCAGGAGGCGCCGAAUCCCACUUGGGCUCUUGCCCCAAGACACGCCCCCCUUCCUUGUUUGUGUGCGGGAGGAAGGCAGGGGGAGGUGACGCCCCACCCCCCCUUUCUUUUCUCUCAUGAGGAGGGAAAGGCAGGAGGGGAAAACCCUCCCCCUUUCCUUCCCCUAGGGCCGCUGGCCAGAGAGAGGUGCGCGCCAGCCCCCUUGUGGGCUUUCGUGUCCCUCCUCUUGGCCCAUUAGGCCCAUAGACCUCCUGGGGGUGUCCGGAACCCCUUCCGGCGAUCUGAUGACUACCCGGUAAACUCCGAAACUCUUCCGAUGUCCAAAUAGUAUCGUCCUAUAUAUCAAUAUUUACCUCCAGACCAUUCCGAAGCUCCUCGUCAUGUUCGUGGUCUCAUCCGGGACUCCGAACAACAUUUGGUCACCAAAUCAUAUAACUCAUAUAACACUAUAUUGUCAACGAACGUUAAGCGUGUGGACCCUACGGGUUCGAGAACUAUGUAGACAUGACCGAGACACUUCUCCGGUCAAUAAUCAAUAGCGGAACCUGGAUGCCCAUAUUUGUUCCUACAUAUUCUACGAACAUCUUUAUCGGUCGAACCAUUAUGACAACAUACGUAAUUCCCUUUGUCCGUCUGUAUGUUACUUGUCCGAGAUUCGAUCGUCGGUAUCUCCAUACCUAGUUCAAUCUCGUUACUGGCAAGUCUCUUUACUCGCUCCAUAAUACAUCAUCUCGUAACUAACUCCUUAGUUAUUUUGCUUGCAAGGCUUCUUAUGAUGUGUAUUACCGAGAGGGCCCAGAGAUACCUCUCCGAUACACGGAGUGAUAAAUCCUAAUCUUGAUCCAUGCCAACUCAACAAACACCUUCGGAAAUACCUGUAGAGCAUCUUUAUGAUCACCCAGUUACAUUGUGACGUUUGAUAGCACACAAGGUAUUCCUCUGGUAUCCGGGAGUUGCAUGAUCUCAUAGUCGAAGGAAUAUGUAUUUAACAUUAAGAAAGCGAUAUCAAUAAACUGAACGAUCAUUUGCUAAGCUAACGGUUGGGUCUUGUCCAUCACAUCAUUAUCCCAAUGAUGUGAUCCCGUUAUCGAAUUACAACUCAUGUCUAUGGUUAGGAAACCUUAACCAUCUUCGAUCAACGAGCUAGUCUAGUAGAGGCUCACUAGGGACACGGUAUUUGUUUAUGUAUUCAGACACGUAUUUAAGUUUCCGGUAAAUACAAUUCUACCAUGAAUAAUAAACCUUUAUCAUGAAUAAGGAAAUAUAAAAUAAAAUAAACUUUAUUAUUGCCUCUAGAGCAUAUUUCCUUAACAACUAAAACUGCUAUCUAAAUCGUUCGUAAAUGUCAUCCUCCUAAUGAAUGUUCGCCAGCUAUUAGGGUUCAUUAUUUUUUAUUUUCUUGACUGUGACACAUAGUUGGCGAGCGGGUUGGUCACCGGUAGAAGCACUGAAGCACACGUCACUUGAUUAGUUUUAGAUUAAGGAAUGCCUUGAUUGCGCUGGCAUGUGAAGGGUCGACUCAUGUCGACACAAUAAUAAAGAUCUUCGUAAUGCAAAGUGGAUAGCUCUAUGUUUAUAUGUAAGUGCAUCUAGUGCCACCCCUAGUUGAUUUUGGAGUAUUGACGACAAACGUGGUUGAGGGACUAAUGUGUUUGUGAGAAUUGCAGGAUAACACAGGUAGAAGUCCCUCAUUGAUUCGGUUUACCUACCAGAGAUGACCCCUAAAAAUGUAUGAAGACAUUGAAGACAAUGGUGGUUCAUGAAGACAUACACGUCGAAGAUAAUGAUGUGUGAAGACAUUCAUGUGAAGACCAUGGGGUGCGAAGACAUAGUUUUUUUCGUAGUUUCAUUUCUUCUUACUUGAGUCAUAGGAACCACCGAACUGUUAAGUGGGGUCCAAGUAAACAAAGUCAGAAGACUGACGUGAUGCUUAACCAAAAUCCUAUGUCUUCGAGUGAAAACAACGAGAGCAAAUCUUAUCCAGAGUUGGGUGAGUCAGCUUUGCUUGUAGCCCAAGCCAAGCUACUGCGUUUGUUUGAAAUCCGACUGUUGGACACGCGUCGGUUCCUUAGUGACCCAGGGUCAUUUCAGACAUAUCAUGUCGGGUUUGCAGCUGACUAUAAAUAUCCCACCCCCUCCACCAUAAAUUGGUGGCUGCUUAGAGUUAGUGCACGGCUUUUGUCGUUUGAGAGCAACCCACCUCCGAAGCCUUUGAGAGAGAGAAUUCUUGCAAGGACAAAGCCCAAAACACCCAGAGCGAAAGAGUGUCAGGCAUCACUGAAGUCUUUCUGUCCGCGUCACCUGAAGACUUAUUACACUUGAGGACUAUGCAUCCUCCAGCCGGUUAGGCGUCACGUUCUGUGGAUCUAAGAGUCAAUGUGGAUCACCGGAGAACGGAGUCUGUGAAGGUUUGGAAGUCUACCUUGAAGACUUACCAGAGUGAUUGGGCGAGGACUGGGUGUCCUUAGCUCAAGGGGAUAAGGUGAAGACGUGGUCUUCUGAGUUCAGUCUCAGCCUCCCUAACCAGACGUACAGUUGUCACAGCAACUGGAAUUGGUCUACCAAAUUCUUGUCUUCGUCAAGCUACUGGUUCUAUCUCCAACCUCCUUUACAUUUCAGUUUGUAUUCGUGAAAUCAUUGCUUGUUGCCUGAUCUAUUUGACUUUAUUGUGUGAAGACUUUUACUAGUUUGGCUUCAUAUUGUCUUCCAUUCCGAUCCGCUCUACCUAGCUGUCAUUAGUCUUCGUGCUUUCAUUGUACUGUAUACUUGACUAUGGUCCGUUUAGUGUAGUUUAUCUUCCGCUGCAUAUCGCAUAGGUGUUGUUUGCUUGUCUGUCUUCUAAGAUCUCGCAUCUUUCGUAGACUUUCAUAAAAAUCACCUAUUCAUCCCCUCUAGUCGAUAACUAGCACUUUCAUUAUACAAUAAUUGUUUUUAUACAAACAAGUGUAUUAUCUUUUGCAUGCAAUCUCAAUAUGUAAGGCGCAUGCGGACAAUUUCCUGUCUAAAGCAGCUAAAGACACGCUCGGAUCCCUAAUUUGCUGGGGAUUGUGGUCAAAGGAGAUCGUGCAUGCGUCCCUCUUUCUUUCGUUUUUUAGUCGUUGAUGCCUCCCUCUCAACAACAUGCACAAUGCUUCAAUUAACGAUCAACAUGCGCUAAUUUUCGUGCUGAAAACUAACACGUCCAACAAUAUGGAAAGGAGGGAGUAUAUAAUACUCAGUACUAUGAGCUUUUUCAAGAUGCACUAACAACUCUAGGGAGGUAAAAGUUGGCUUCUAUCAUGGCCGUUAAUCUUAGACUAUUCAUUUUGGAUACCGAAAUACUACUGGCUAUUUCCUCUUAAUACAUACACAUCAUAACGACAAAUCAGAAAUGUCAAUGGAGAUUUAUUUAUUCUUUCAAACUGUAAUCAUACAUGCUAUUUGCAAAACAUAGUUCAUCGCUGCACCUAGUUCAAUGUCACCCUCUACUCCAGUUUGCUUCUUAUCUCAACUAGGUUCAUUGUAUAUCUUCUCUUUAAAUGUCUACUUAAUCCGCCGCCAUCUCAUACAGUACUAUAGGACAACUUUUAUGAACCAAUAUUCCUCCUUCUCCUACGGCAGUGGCUAGGGCGAAGCUUCAUCCCCUGUAGGCUCCACCUAGUUAGUCAACUCAAUGAUGGUGCUAACAAUGCCGCCAUCUUCAGCCUUGAGCCCUUGCACGCCCUGGAUACAUGGAGGCUUGCAUCAUCAUAAGCUUGUCGUAGUUCUUGUCAAUGCUAAUUUCGUCGACCUGCUUGUUAGCCUAAGCUACUACAGAAGGAUCGCCCCUUGAGAUGAGGCUACUCGGGCCCAACACCUUGAACUGCUCCGCCGCCUGUGUCUGCAGCUAAUUGCUAAGGUCCCCGAUCUCCGCAUCCUCAAACAUGAUGUUGAUAUCUGAGUAUCGUCCCUUGAAUAUGUAUGGUUUGGAGAUGGCGAACAUAAACCUUCAAUGGUGUGGCGAGGUUGAGAAAAUGAAACAACACAUGUGUCUACCUUGGAUGCAGAACAUUGAAUUGAAGCACCAUGAUGCUGAGAUUUUCUGUUUGGUGGUAUAUUUAUUUCAAAUUGGAUUNNNNNNNNNNNNNNNNNNNNNNNNNNNNNNNNNNNNNNNNNNNNNNNNNNNNNNNNNNNNNNNNNNNNNNNNNNNNNNNNNNNNNNNNNNNNNNNNNNNNNNNNNNNNNNNNNNNNNNNNNNNNNNNNNNNNNNNNNNNNNNNNNNNNNNNNNNNNNNNNNNNNNNNNNNNNNNNNNNNNNNNNNNNNNNNNNNNNNNNNNNNNNNNNNNNNNNNNNNNNNNNNNNNNNNNNNNAAAAAAAAGGCUACAAACAAGGAAGACAAUAGUAGGCUAUGUUGUUAACGCAAACAUGCAUGACGUGUUGAUUUAAAUCUUGAAGGCCGCCUGCAACUAUGAGGGUGGGAAGCGAAGAUUCAAGCAUUUUCUCCUUCCACAAAUUGCAGAUGGUGCAUGAGGCUAUAACACUGAGCAUGUCUCUUGCUUUUCAUAUAGGAUCUGAACGCACCCUUCCCACCAUCUUGACAAAUCAGUGUUGAGUGUAAAUGUUAUGGUGAGACUGGACAAUUGAGCAGAGCACACAUGUGUAACCAAGCCUCUUUGGAGCAAGGGAAAUUAAGGCCGGUGUGCAAAGCAGGCUCCAAGACUUGGUCAAAAUAUUAAUGGAUGGAUGGCUAAUGUGCUCACCAACUUUCCUUGUUGUAAGUAUGACCGACUCUUAUAAAAAAGACACUCCUCAAUCAAACAAGUACGAUGGGGUUCGAGGCUCCCGAUACAGAGGCACUUCAGAUAAAUAGUGAGGGUGGAUGGAUGAAAUCCAUUAUGAAAUAAGAAAGGGAGGCAUACAGAAACACAUCAUCUCCAAAAAUCAUAUAGGGCAUAGCAAAUCUAAAAAAUCAAGUAUUUUCUAAGAGGAAAGGCAGGGGCAACACUAAUGUACACAUGAAGGAGUGAACAUGAGAAGAUGGAGAUCCUUCAAGUACAGUCCCGAGAAAGAGAGUGACAUGUGAAGCAUUACGGCUUGGCCUCAAGGAGUGUGAGAGCCCCACGAAGGAGAAAGUGGCAACCACUGCGAUUUCCAGCCAUCUUGCCAAGGAGCAGGCCCGCGCCGCCAAUGCCUGGUCCGACUCCCCUACUCAUACGACUUUCUCGUUAGCUCCAGCACCUCCGACAGCCCUCCGAAGCAUACUAACGUCGCUCCGAAGACGACAAGGGGAAGGGCAUAUUGUGUUGAUCUACAUUGUAUGGUAUUGUAUGGAUUUGGGGGUUUGGAUAAGAGAGAGAGAUCAUCGACGGACGCGGGCAAAUGAUGGCGAGCCAGCGCUAUCCACGGACAAUAGUUAGAAAUGAAACACGAAUAAAACCUCUGAUUCCCCAAAUGCAACAUUAAAUAUGACAUGACCAAAGAGUGUGAUCUAAUAUCAUCCAUCAUAAAAACGAAUGCUAACUACAUGUUUGGCCCCAGCUCGCAUGUAACGCACAACCACAAUCCCCAACAAUCAUUAGGUUGGUCAUAAUAGGAGUAUCAUAGAUAGUAUCAUGUAUGCCGAUUACACAUUUUUACUGAGGUGACACAUAAUUAAAUGAAGAAAGAGAGUAUGGCCUAUGAUGAUAUGAUAUUAUAUCAUAUUAAAUGAUGUAUUAGUGUGUGUCAUAUAUGAAAAUAAAUGAGAUCACUAUGAUACUAACCUAUGAUACUAUUCACUCCACUCUUCGUCUCCUCUUCUCCCUGUCCCCUUCCCUUCCAAUCCAAUCUCGAGCUUCGGUAGAGCAGCUUCCGGCGGCGGAUCUGGCAGCGAUGACCCCGUCGAUUAGGAGUCGUUAAUGUGUGAGGCGAAGGCGGACGGCGAUGGAAUGGUCCUCGUUUGCAUCGCGCUGCGCCGACCGCGGUUGGAUAGGGGUGGAAGCGCAAGCUCUGGUUCCACGCAAUCCAUCGCCGCUUGUCGACGUAGAGCAGACGACCGCGCCGACGCGUCCCGUCCGCGCAACUCCGUGCGCUUCGUGCCCCUUCCGGUCCGCCACACGCAUGCCCUCUUCGGGCCCUCCUCUGCCUGCUCCAGCUCGUGUCCGACCAUUGUUGGUUCCUCGUGCCCGGGCCGGCCCCGCCGCGGUUGUGGAUACCCGAAUCUGAAGCGUGUGGCGCACGCCGUGAGAGGCAGCGGGAGAGGAAGAGAGCGGUGACGACAGAAGCGAGGUCCUCCCGCCGGUCACGCAUGAGCCCACCGGUAAGUCCGGACGACCAGCUCCUCGCCCAGGUCCUCUGCUGCUCAUUCACCACCUCGGAGACUGACGUGCGACGUCCCCACCGCAAGAACGCCAACACACUCUGGCUCACCAUCGAGCAGUCUGAGCGCGAGACAGUGGUGGAUGUGACGGCCAAAACCAACAUGGCCCGACUCGGGAAGGAGCAAACGCGUGUCCUCCAUGGGUUGGCCGGCAUCAUCUCCUCCUCCAACGACUCUGACGACGACGCUCCUCCUGCCACCAAUGCCUACACGGACGCACCGAUGAUUGCAAGGUCAAGGGACUGGCGCAUGAGUGGUGAUGUCUCGGUGCCCCUCUUCAUCUCCGUUUUAGGUUUUAGUUGAUUUAGUUUUUAUCUAUGUCUGUAUGCCGGCGACGAGCAAGAGCUUUUGGUCUUAGCUCUUAGCUCUGAAUAUCUGCCCUUCAUGUCAGAUCUGACCGGUCUCACCGAAUUGAACAAAAAUCUCUUGAGGCCUUGGCCAGUUUUCCGGGAUGUGCUAGUGGAAACGUUGCAAGGCCAUUUUAUUUUAGCAUGCAUGCUCAUUAAUGCAUUAACUAAUCCAAACCUUAAUCAGUCACCAUUGAUAACAACUAGAUUAAGACGAGGAAGAGCCGUUCGGACGUCGAAGAUGGCCACAAAUGAAGUACAGUACAGUACGAAGCAACCGCCUGCACUGCAAGUACGACUACUACAUGCCAAACCCCACAUAGGGCCGCGCUCGUGCGUGCCGUUCUUCUAGAGAGAGAGAGAGAGGCGGAGCAGAGCAUGCGCCUGUGCUGCAUGGUCCGACCGACGGCGACGGCGGACGCGACGGUGGCGAUGGAUGGCGUCUCCCCUCGUCAAUCCCCGACAGCGAGCUCCCAACCCCGAUCCAUUCCAGCGACCGCCAACGGCCUCCCCUCUCUCCUCUGCCCACCACAUGCCGCUGUUCUUCCGCGCCGCCGGUCGCCGUCGGUUCAUCAGUACAGUCCCGUGCACCAGGUCCACGAGCAAGCGAACAGCACUACGGUGGCAACACAUUCGUAAUUUGCGCGAGGGCACGUGGCCGACCUGGACAGACCCCGGAGAAACCGUCCGUCCGUGGACCCGACCAUUCCAGUCGCUGACAACUUAGCCGUGAAGACCGUCGCCGCGCACGACGCGACCGCCCGGUGCACGGGGGACACCUGGCGCAGGAGCGCUCGCGGGAGAGUGGCCUGUCAUCACGGGCCUCUCCGAGUCCGGCGGUCGCUCACCCAUCCAGCCAGCUACGUGGAUCCAACAUUCUUCGCUUUGCGUUGCGUGGUUGAUGGAUAGGCACGGCUAUGCUUCUACGAAAGCGGCGUCCCACGUUAGCGCAAUUAUUUUUAGUUUUCCUGGCGGUGACACGUAGUCGGCUGGCGAGUUGGUCGUCAGUAGAAGCACACGAGGCCACUAUCUCGGUUUGGAUUAAAGAACGUGUUGGUUGCGCUGGCCCGUGGAUUGUCGACUCAAGGUUAAACUGAUACACCUAUGAAAGAUCUUCUUUUAGUUCCCGGCAAAAAAAAACCCAUAAAGAUCUUCAUCAUACUAUAAAGUGAAAAGCUCUACAUUUAUAUAAUAAUUUUGUGUACAAACAUUGUAUACUCGGUACGAGCUCUUUCAGGAUGCACCAACUUACCUCUAGGCUUUAGAUAGGUAGGAGUUGGCUUGAAUCAUGGCCAUCGAUCUUUGACCAUUCAUUUUGGAUACCAAGAUACAACAAACUAUUUCGUGUUAAUAUUAUCAUUUCAAACUGUAAUCGUCCAUGCCAUUUUUAGAACAUAGUUCGUGGCUGCACCUAAUCCAAUGUUCACCCUCUACUUCAACUAGACGAUACCCCACACAUCGCCGCGGGAAUCGGUUGGAAUCAAUUUCAAUAAAAUUUUAUUGUGUGGAAUAUAAAUAUUUAAAUUAAUGACAUGUGAAUCAUAUUUAAAAAAUAUACGACUAAUUACAUUUGAUUAUGUAUAUUUGCAAAAAUUAUUGAAUGUAAGUAGAAUAAUAAAGUGAGUAAUAUUUUUGUGUGCAUGGUUGCAUGUUGUGGUGGGCCUUAUCCCGUCUAUAAUUGUAUGGGAUAUGGCAUGCUUGUAUGUUGAUAUUAAUAAGUUAGUGGUGAUGGCUCUCUUAGGUAUAUGUAGGAUUUGUUCACCGUCCAUUGGUCCUCGAUGUCUCUUCAUCUCAAUUGAAGUCCACCAUCUAUCUUCUCAUCAAUCCACCCUCUUAUCAUACAGUACCAUAGAAUGACUUUAAUGAACCGAUCAAUUCCUUCAUCCCCGUGUCACUAGUAGAAAAAGGGCCUUUAGUCCCGGUUCAUAAGGGCCUUUAGUCCCGGUUCUGGAACCGGGACUAAAGGGUCGUUACUAAAGCCCCCCCCCCUUUAGUUUCGGUUCUUACACGAACCGGGAUUAAAGGCUCUCCACGUGGCCGCUGCCUGGAGGUCCACCUUUAGUCCUGGUUGUUACACGAACCGGUACUAAAGGAAAUUUUAUGAUUUUUUUUUGAAUUUUAAAAAUUUUUUUGAAUUUUUUUGAUUUUGAAAUUAUUUUAACCUCUAAUCUCUAAUCACCCCUCAUCACUGCUCAAUUUAACCUCUAAUCUCUAAUCACCCCUCAUCAUUCCAAAUCAUCUAACUUCCCAGACGGUCACCCAUCCUCUCACUACUCCUUAACUUCCGGGUUCUAUUCUCCCUCGUUUCCAAGUCUGCACUUGUUGUUUUCCUGACAAUAGUAAGAUGUCAAUCCUAUUAACCCUCAGGAAUUUAGCUUGAGCAUGAAGUCACACAUUUCACUGUUUGAGUUUGAAACUAUUGUUCUAAAAACAAUGAUUAUUUAGUAACACUAAUAUUUCUUGAAUAAGUAGUUUGACCAUAGUUUGACCAGAUUUGACCAAAAUUCAAAAAAACUGAAAUAAUUAUUUCGUAACACUAAUAUUUCUUGAAUAAUUAGUUUGACCAUUGUUUGACCACAGUUUGACCACAAUUUGACCAGAUUUGACCAAAAUUCAAAAAAACUGAAAUAAUUAUUUAGUAACACUAAUAUUCUUGAAUAAUUAUUUAGUAACACUAAUACUUCUUGAAUAAGUAGUUUGACCAUAUUUAACAAAAAUUCAAAAAAAACUGAAAUUUGAUCAUAACUUUUUUUCCUUUUAGAAUUUGAGGAUUCUAAAAAUUUGCAAACAGGCCGUAGGCCGUCAAAAUCGGAUGCGGAUUUUCGUGCUGAACAUUUUGAUAUAUUAUACGUUUUUUUCUGACAUCGUAUGCAAAAGUUAUAGCCGUUUUACAUUUUCCCUACACUUUUUGCAAAACAUGUCCAAAUUUAAGUUUUUAAAUUUUCCUAACUAGUACAUGUAGUAACAUAACUACAUCUGGAAGGAUUUUAAUUUUUGAAAUUUUUAUCAUUUUCUUUUGCUUUUUACAAAACUGAAAAGGUGAUGGGGGGGGGGGGGUAGAGUUUGAAAAUGGGACCUUUAGUACCGGUUCGUGCCACAAACCGGUACUAAUGCCUCAAACCCCAUUAGUACCGGUUGGUGGCUCGAACCGGGACUAAAGGUCUAACCUUUAGUACCGGUUGGUGCCACGAACCGGUACUAAUGGGCAUCGUACCCUUUAGUUCUGGUUCGUGGCACCAACCGGGACUAAAGGUCCCAUUUGAACCGGGACUAAUGCCUGUACGGUGCCCUAGCCGCUCGAACCGGGACUAAUGCUCACAUUAGUCCCGGUUCGUAAUGCAACCGGGAUUAAUGCUCUUUUCUGGCCGAACCAAAGCCCUGUUUUCUACUAGUGUGUCAGCAGCUAGGGUGAAGCUCCGUGCCAUCUAAUCUCCACUGCAGGCCGGUGGACUCGCCUCCCCUCUAUCCGCAGCUCUGACGGCGGGUGAUGGAGAGGGAAGUUUCAGUACAAUGGUCCGACUCGUAGUUCAUGUUAGGUUUUUUAGUCCUUGCAGGAACGACAUUGUGGUGGUCAUGUUUAAGUUGGUCUUCUGCGUUUCGGUUUUCUUUGAGUUAGUCUAUCAGAAUGGAGUCAUAAGAGCUCCUACGUAGAUUUUUGAUAUUUUUUCCCAUCAUUUAUUUGUUUCGAUCCAUAUGAAAAAGAAAGUUGAAAAUCCCCUCCCAAUUGUUGUAGUUGGGAACAAAAUUCAAAAGCUGGCAAGAAUUACAUAUGUAUUGUCUCAAACAUGAUGACAUGCACUUGGAAAUAAAAUUUGGUACAUUUGGUUCAUACUUUUCCCAUAAGAGCAUGCAGCUUGCUGAUAUCUCAGAUGUUGAAACCCCUAGCGUACUUACAUGCCAGUCCUAGUUAGAGACACACAACCUCCAAUUAUUCAGCUACAUUAUUCUAGAUGACAUGACAAAGAGACUGCUUUACCCAACAUCAUAUUAUCAGGACACAAUAUUCCACCUUCCAACACCUAGUUAGGAAACUCCAUGAUGACAUGGAAAAUAUCGUCAUCCUUGGCCUUAAGCGCAAGAAUGGCAUACGUAUUGUCUCAAACACGAUGACAUGCAUUUUCAAACCAAAUUUGGCACAACCAAUUUAGAAUUUUCCCAUAAGGACCAUGCAGCUUGUUGAUCCUUAAAUGUUAAAACACCUUGGAAACCUACAUGCCAGUACUAGGCAGAGACACACAACCUCCAAUUCUGCAACUGCAACAUUCAAGGCGACAUGACAAAAGGACUGUUUUGAGACCCAAUUCCCUAUUAUCAUGACACAAUUCCACCUUCUAGCACCUAGUUAGUCAACUCAUUGAUGGCACUGACAAUGUCGCCAUCCUUAGCCCUGAGCGCCUCCAACGCUCUGGAUCUUGACAUGGAGCCCAUCGUCAUCAUAAGCUUGACGUACUUAUUUUCAACAUUGGAUGUUGUCAACCUCCUCGUUUCCCCGAGUUAGUUCCAUAUAAGGCUAUUUCUUCAAGAUGAAGCUACUCAGGACUGACGCCUUGAACUGCUCCAUCGCUUGUGUCUGUAGCCGAUUGCUAAGGGUCGUCUAUCUUGGAAUCCCCGAACUCGAUGUACUUUGAUGAGUGUGGGAUUUUGAAGAUGUUUUUCUUGGAGAUGAGAAAUAUAACCUGCGAUUGUGUGGCAAAGUUGAAAAAAUGCAACAACAAAUGUAUUUUUUUUUCUUUAGAUGCAAAAGUCACUUGGAUGGCAGCACCAUGAUGUUGAGAUUUUCUAUUUUGUUAGAUGGUAUAUUGAUGUCAAAUUGGAGUUAAUUAACGUAGGGAUAAGAUUUACAACCUAGCAGGGAUCGAAAAAGAAAACAUAGGAUAUAGAGAAGAAAGAUGGCAGUAGGCUAUCUCGUAAGUCGAAACAUGGAUGGCAUCUAAUUUUCAAUCUCCAAGGCUAUCAACAACUGCGAGGGUUGGGAGGUGAUGUCAUCAAAGAUUUGAGCAUUUUGCUCCUUUCACAAAUUUCAGACAACAUAUGAGGCUAUAAUGUUGAGCAUUUAUUUGCAUUUUCAUACAGGCUCAAGAUGCAACCUCUCCCACCAGCUCGGCAAAUCAGUGUUUAGUGUAAAGGAUAGGGUGAGCCCAAAGAAUGGAGCAAAGCACACAUGUGUACCCAAACCUCUUUGUAGAAAGUUAAAUUAAGGCUCAAGCGUGAAUCGGGCUCUAGGACAUGGUCACAAAAUUAGCCGAUGGAUAGGCAAUCCGCUCACCAACCUUGGUCGAUGUAAUCAUGAUUGCCCCUUAUAAAAGACACACUCCUCUUGAUGGUCUCCUUGUAGCCUCUAAAUGUGUUCACGAUAGUAAUAGCAACACACCAAACACGGCUGGGGUCGAGGCUCUAGAGCCAGAGAGCACUAGAGAUAAACAAUGGGGUUAGAUCGAUCCAAUACUGAAUGAAAUAAGAAUGGUAGGUAUAUGGAAACACAUCACCACUAGUAGAAAACUGGGCUUUGGUCACAGGGCAAUAUUCACAUUAGUCCCGGUUCAGUCACGAACCGGGACUAAUGUGAGCAUUGGUCCCGGUUCGUGCGGCCAGGGGCCUGCCGGGCCUCGUGGGGGCAUUGGUCCCGGUUCGUCCGGCCCCUUUGGUCCCGGUUGGUGGGACAAACCGGGACCAAUGGGCCUCGUUCCUGGCCCACCACCAUUGGUCCCGGUUGGUGGCUUGAACCGGGACCAGAGGCUCACCCUUUAGUCCCGCGUCAUACCACAAACCGGGACCAAAGGGUUGGUCCUAGUAGCGGUCAGAGUUUAGUCCCACCUCGCCAACCGAAGGACGCUCACACCGGUUUAUAAGCCCGUCCCUCUCUGCCUUGUUGAGCUCCUCUCAAAGUGAAAAUAGAUGCCCUUAUAUAGGGAAUUUGACCUAAAUUCAGAGUAAAUUUCUUUGAAUUUCAUAGAAAUUUAUUAUGAAUUUAGGUUGAAUUUUCUCUAUAGGCGCAUCUAUGUUCAUUUUUUAUAGUAAAUAAAAUAAAUAUACCUUAAUAAAAUANNNNNNNNNNNNNNNNNNNNNNNNNNNNNNNNNNNNNNNNNNNNNNNNNNNNNNNNNNNNNNNNNNNNNNNNNNNNNNNNNNNNNNNNNNNNNNNNNNNNNNNNNNNNNNNNNNNNNNNNNNNNNNNNNNNNNNNNNNNNNNNNNNNNNNNNNNNNNNNNNNNNNNNNNNNNNNNNNNNNNNNNNNNNNNNNNNNNNNNNNNNNNNNNNNNNNNNNNNNNNNNNNNNNNNNNNNNNNNNNNNNNNNNNNNNNNNNNNNNNNNNNNNNNNNNNNNNNNNNNNNNNNNNNNNNNNNNNNNNNNNNNNNNNNNNNNNNNNNNNNNNNNNNNNNNNNNNNNNNNNNNNNNNNNNNNNNNNNNNNNNNNNNNNNNNNNAAUAGCAGCAGUAAAAUAAAUAAAAAUAGCAGCAGUAAAAUAAAUAAAAAUAAAAUAAAUAAAGUAAAAUACAUAAGUAAUUAGAAACAAAAUGGAAUAAAAUAAAUAAGUUUUUUGUUGUAAGUAGAAACAAAACAAAAUAAAUAAAGCAAAAGAGAAAACAAAAAACAGGGAAAAAAAUUGUGCCACCUACUGGGCCACCACGGUCUGAAUACGACUUGAAACCCAUCCAUGGGCCAGGAUUCAGGCCCGCAGAAGGCCCAGUAGGCCCCACAGGCAAAGAGAACGGUUAGGCCCGAAAGCCUGCAGUUGAGAGGAGCUCGAGAGGGUGGGCGCAGCAGCGCUUAUAAACCACUCUCGAGCGCUCUCAACUAGCGAGGUGGGACUAAACUUUUGACACGGGGCAGCACAAGGCCUUUGGUCCCGGUUGGUGCCACCAACCGGGACUAAAGGGGGGCAUGCGUACCGGUUCAUGGCACCAACCGGGACCAAUGCCCCCCCUUUAGUCCCGGUUGGUGCCACGAACCGGGACCAAUGGGUUGCCUAUAUAUACCCCAUCGCCACAGCAGAGCACUCCACAGUGCUCUGUUUUUUCUGGCCGGCGAGGGGAGGGCAUUUGGGUGCUCUAGCUCACCUCCUAUGCACAUGAGGUGUUCGAUGAAAUGUCUGAGCCACACUAGUUAAUCUUUCUCCUCUCGAAACUCGACCUCCGAGCUCCAUUUUCCCCGAGAUUUGUCUAGGUUUAGCGGUCCGUCACGUCCCGUCCCCGUCUUCACCGCCGUCGAUCGCCCGCGCCGAUCUCGUCGCCAGCACCACCGUGGUGAGCCUCUUGUUCUUAUCUUCUUUCUGAAAGAAAAAAAUUCUUACUUUAGAUAGAUACUUGUCUAAUUUAGUUACUUUUAUUAUUCCUUCUUAUUAAAUAGUGCGAUGGUUUUGGUAUCCGCCCCCGUCGGCCCUCGUCCUGUCUAUGAUUCGGAUGUGGUAUAUAUUAUCUUUUUAUAACUAUUUAGUUCAUUUAUUGUUUAUGACAAAUAUGCCGACCAACGUGACAUAGAUUUUAUUUAUCUAGGAGGUGGUUGAACCGUAAAUUCCAACCGACCCUAUUGUCAAGAGGUUAAAUUUAGUUGAAGAAGAAAACAAUUACUUGAAGGAAAAAAUAAAAAAAAUUGAGGAGGAGAAGAUGAUAUUGGAGUUGCAUGUUGCAGAUGUCGUCGAUGAUCACAAGAUCAAGAUGGAUGCAAUGCGCUUGAAGAUUAGAAAGAUUAGAAAAUAUGCCAUUCAUAUCGAGGCUUGGUAUCAUUAUGCCGUUGGAUCAAUUGUUACCUUGGUUGCGAUUAUGAUCGCAUUUGUUUUCGCAUUGAAAUGUUUUACAUAGUUUCAAUGUAUGGUUUAAUUAAUUAGAUGCUCUGGAGAGCUAUAUAUAUGUUGUUAGAUGAGAACUAUGUAUGUACUUUGGUUUUAAUGUGAUGAUGAACUUCUAUUAAUUUGGUCACUUAAUUAUCUAUUCAUGAUGUUCUGUAAUGGUUUUUGACACACUUAAUUAUAUAUAAUGCAUGCAGAUGAACCGGCAAUGGAUGUACGGUGACAGACACACCUCCGAGUACAUUAAGGGCGUGCAUGAUUAUCUCGAAGUGGCUGAGGCAAACAAGCAGAAUGGUUUUAUGUGUUGUCCAUGCCCUACAUGUUGGAAUACGAAGUCUUACUCUGACCGGAAAAUCCUUCACACCCACCUGCUUUACAAGGGUUUCAUGCCACACUAUAAUGUUUGGACGAGGCACGGAGAAAUAGGGGUUAUGAUGGAAGACGGCGAAGAAGAAGAGGACGAUGACAACUAUGUGCCCCCUGAAUACGGUGAUGCUGCAACGGGGGAAGCUGCUGAAGAUCAAGAGAAACCAGACGAUGUGCCCAAUGAUGCUGCAAGGGGGAAGCUGCUGAAGAUCAAGAGGAACCAGUGCCCGAUGAUGAUGAUCUCCGCCGGGUCAUUGUCGAUGCAAGGACGCAAUGCGAAAGUCAAAAGGAGAAGCUGAAGUUCGAUCGCAUGUUAGAGGAUCACAAAAAAGGAUUGUACCCCAAUUGCGAAGAUGGCAACACAAAGCUCGGUACCGUACUGGAAUUGCUGCAGUGGAAGGCAGAGAAUGCUGUGCCUGACAAAGGAUUUGAGAAGCUAUUGAAAAUAUUGAAGAAGAAGCUUCCAAAGGAUAACGAAUUUCCCGACAGUACAUACGCAGCAAAGAAGGUCGUAUGCCCUCUAGGAUUGGAGGUGCAGAAGAUACAUGCAUGCCCUAAUGACUGCAUCCUCUACCGCGGUGCGUACAAGGAUCUGAACGCAUGCCCGGUAUGCGGUGCAUUGCGGUAUAAGAUCAGACGAGAUGACCCUGGUGAUGUUGACGGCGAGCCCCCCACGAAGAGGGUUCCUACGAAGGUGAUGUGGUAUGCUCCUAUAAUACCACGGUUGAAACGUCUGUUUAGAAACGAAGAGCAUGCCAAGUUGAUGCGAUGGCAUAGUGAGGACCGUAAGAAAGACGGGAUGUUGAGAGCACCCGCUGACGGGUCGCAGUGGAGAAAAAUCGAGAGAAAGUACUGGGCUGAGUUUGCAGCUGACCCAAGGAACGUAUGGUUUGGUUUAAGCGCGGAUGACAUUAAUCCUUUCGGGGAGCAGAGCAGCAAUCACAGCACCUGGCCCGUGACUCUAUGUAUGUAUAACCUUCCUCCUUGGAUGUGCAUGAAGCGGAAGUUCAUUAUGAUGCCAGUUCUCAUCCAAAGCACUAAGCAACCCGGCAACGACAUUGAUGUGUACCUAAGGACAUUAGUUGAAGAACUUUUACAGCUGUGGAAUGGAAACGGUGUACGUACGUGGGAUGAGCACAAACAGGAGGAAUUUAACCUGCACGCGUUGCUGUUUGUAACCAUCAACGAUUGGCCCGCUCUCAGUAACCUUUCAGGACAGACAAACAAGGGAUACCAUGCAUGCACGCACUGUUUAGAUGACACUGAAACUAUAUACCUGGACAAAUGCAGGAAGAAUGUGUACCUGGGCCAUCGUCGAUUUCUUCCGACCAACCAUCAAUGUCGAAAGAAAGGCAAGCAUUUCAAAGGCGGGGCAGAUCACUGGAAGAAGCCCGCCAUGCGUACCGGUGAUCACGUACUUGCUAUGGUCAAUGAUUUACACGUAAUCUUUGGAAAGUGUCCCGGCGGACUAGCUGUUCCGAACGAGGCUGAAGGACAUGCACCCAUGUGGAAGAAGAAAUCUAUAUUUGGGGACCUACCCUACUGGAAAGACCUAGAGGUCCGCUCUUCAAUCGACGUGAUGCACGUGACGAAGAACCUUUGCGUGAACCUGCUAGGCUUCUUGGGCGUGUAUGGGAAGACAAAAGAUACAACUAAGGCACGGGAGGACCUGCAACGUUUGCACGAAAAAGACGGCAUGCCUCCGAAGCAGUAUGAAGGUCCUGCCAGCUACGCUCUUACGAAAGAAGAGAAAGAAAUCUUCUUUGAAUGCCUGCUCAGUAUGAAGGUCCCGACUGGCUUCUCGUCGAAUAUAAAGGGAAUAAUAAAUAUGCCAGAGAAAAAGUUCCAGAACCUAAAGUCUCAUGACUGCCACGUGAUUAUGACGCAACUGCUUCCGGUUGCAUUGAUGGGGCUUCUGCCGGAAAAUGUCCGAUUAGCCAUUGUGAAGCUAUGUGCAUUCCUCAAUGCAAUCUCUCAGAAGGUGAUCGAUCCAGAAAUCAUACCAAGUCUAAGGAGUGAUGCGGAGCAAUGUCUUGUUAGUUUCGAGCUGGUGUUCCCACCAUCCUUCUUCAAUAUCAUGACGCACGUCCUAGUUCAUCUAGUCGACGAGAUUGUCAUUCUGGGGCCCGUAUUUCUACACAAUAUGUUCCCCUUUGAGAGGUUCAUGGGAGUCCUAAAGAAAUAUGUCCGUAACCGCGCUAGGCCAGAAGGAAGCAUCUCCAUGGGCCAUCAAACAGAGGAUGUCAUUGGGUUUUGUGUUGACUUCAUUCCUGGCCUUAAGAAGAUAGGUCUCCCUAAAUCGCGGUAUGAGGGGAGACUGACUGGAAAAGGCACGCUUGGAGGGGACUCAAUAAUAUGCAGGGAUGGAUAUUCUUGGUCUCAAGCACACUACACAGUUCUACAGAACUCUACCUUGGUGACCACGUAUGUCGAUGAACACAAGAACAGUCUGCGCUCCAAAGACCCGGAGCAGUGUGACGACUGGAUUACAUGUGAACACAUCAGGACUUUCAGCAGUUGGUUGGAAACACGUCUCAGAGGUGACACCACUGUUUGUGAUGAGUUGUACUCGUUGUCCAGGGGACCAUCUUCGACUGUAUUGACUUACAAAGGAUACGAGAUAAAUGGGAAUACAUUUUACACGAUCGCCCAAGAUCAAAAGAGCACCAACCAAAACAGCGGUGUCCGCUUUGAUGCAGCAACCGAGAGGGGAAAGGACACAUAUUAUGGUUUCAUAAUGGACAUAUGAGAACUUGACUACGGACAUGAUUUUAAGGUCCCUUUGUUUAAGUGCAAAUGGGUCAAUCUGUCAGGAGGCGGGGUACAGGUAGACCCACAGUACGGAAUGACAACAGUGGAUCUGAACAAUCUUGGGUACACUGACGAACCGUUCGUCCUAGCCAAUGAUGUGGCACAGGUUAUCUAUGUGAAGGACAUGUCUACCGGACCGAGGAAAAGAAAAGAUAAGGAAGUGAAUACAUCAUACGAUGAGCCAAAGCGCCACAUAGUUCUUUCAGGAAAAAGGGGCAUUGUGGGAGUGGAGGGCAAGACAGACAUGUCUGAAGAUUAUGAAAAGUUUCAUGAAAUUCCUCCCUUCAAAGUCAAGGCUGACCCAAGCAUCCUGAUAAACGAUGAAGAUUAUCCAUGGUUACGGCGCAAUAGGCAAAUGACACAAGCGAAGAAAAAGUGAAGACUUUCUCCUACAACUAUUAUGAUGAUACCAUGCCAACUUUGUAACAGACGAGUAUGAUACCAUUGUCCGUUUUGUACACGAAGUGCAUCUAGUUUUUGCCAUAACCCUCUCAACUUUCUUGCACAUGCUAUGUGGAUGAAAUGAUGAUACCAUGCCAACUUUCAACCUUUUCAGAGUUCAUUUGAAAUGCUUUUCAAUUUUAGGGUCUUAUAGCUCAAAAUAAUUAGUAAAUGCAUGAAAAAUAACAAAUGAAGUCAGAAAGGGUUGAAAAUUGAUGAUGUGGCUUUGAAUGGUGCAUUUUGAACACACAAAAAGUCAGGAGUUCAAAUAAGUUUUAAAAAAUGAAAUCCCUUUGUAACAGACGAGUGUCCGUAUGAAAUCCUGAUACUUCGAAAGAGAUUGUCCGUUUUGUACACGAAGUGCAUCCAGUUUGUGCCGUAACCCUCUCAAAUUUCUUGCACAUGCUAUGUGGAUGAAAUGAUGAUACCAUGCCAACUUUCAACCUUUUCAGAGUUCAUUUGAAAUGCUUUUCAAUUUUAGGGUCCUAUAGCUCAAAAUAAUCAGUAAAUGCAUGAAAAAUGGUGCAUGAAAAAUAAAAAAUAAAAUAAAUAAGUAAUUAGAAACAAAAUAAUAUAAACUUUAAUAAAAUAUAUAAGUAGAAACAAAAUAAAAUAAACUUUAAUAACAUAAAUAAAAUUUAUGAAACUAAAAUUAUCAAAGUAUUUUCUGUUCAAAACAUUAUAAGCAACCUCUAGUAUUAUUGAAACUAAAAUUAUAUAAAAUUGAUGCAACUAAAAUUAUCGAAGUAUUUUCUGUUCAAAAUCAUUGAAAGCAAAAAUAAUUUUCAUAAAGAACUUUUUUUGUUAGAAACUUUAAUAGCAAAAAGAAUUAUCAUAAAGUAAAAUAAAUAAGUAAUUAGAAACAAAAUAAAAUAAAAUAAAUAAGUUUUUUGUUGUAAGUAGAAACAAAACAGAAUAAAUAAAGCAAAAAAGAAAACAAAAAAACAGGCAAAAAAUAAAAAUUAUGCCACCUACUGGGCCACCACGGCCUGAAUACGACUAGAAACCCAUCCAUGGGCCAGGAUUCAGGCCCGCAGAAGGCCCAGUAGGCCCACAGGCAUGUACAGAGAGGUUAGGCCCGUAAGCCUGCUUUAGAGAGGAGCUCGACAGCUCAGGCGCACCGCACCUUAUAAACAUGUGCGGCUCUCUCUCAGCUAGCGAGGUGGGACUAAACUCCCACCACCACGCCGCUGUGCAAGGCCAUUGGUCCCGGUUGGUGGCACGAACCGGGACCAAUGCCACCCUUUGGUCCCGGUUGGUGGCACCAACCGGGACUAAAGGGGGCCAUUGGUCCCGGUUGGUGCCACGAACCGGUACCAAUGCUCUCAGUAUAUCAGAAAGCACUUAGCGUUUUUGAGAUUCAUCUCUGCAUCUGUUCCCCCGCCCCGACGACGCUGCCAGGCUGCCCGAGCUCGCCCCGUCGACGCCCUCUGCUGCCUCGUCGACGAGCAGCCGCCCCUUCCCCGAGCACGCCGCCGGCAGCCCGCCCCGACCACGCCGCGCGCCCCUGCCCCGACCACGUCGUCGUCGCCCCAGCUGCCCCGACCACGCCGCCGUCGCCUCUGCCUCGCCCUGCCUCGACCACGCCGCCNNNNNNNNNNNNNNNNNNNNNNNNNNNNNNNNNNNNNNNNNNNNNNNNNNNNNNNNNNNNNNNNNNNNNNNNNNNNNNNNNNNNNNNNNNNNNNNNNNNNNNNNNNNNNNNNNNNNNNNNNNNNNNNNNNNNNNNNNNNNNNNNNNNNNNNNNNNNNNNNNNNNNNNNNNNNNNNNNNNNNNNNNNNNNNNNNNNNNNNNNNNNNNNNNNNNNNNNNNNNNNNNNNNNNNNNNNNNNNNNNNNNNNNNNNNNNNNNNNNNNNNNNNNNNNNNNNNNNNNNNNNNNNNNNNNNNNNNNNNNNNNNNNNNNNNNNNNNNNNNNNNNNNNNNNNNNNNNNNNNNNNNNNNNNNNNNNNNNNNNNNNNNNNNNNNNNNNNNNNNNNNNNNNNNNNNNNNNNNNNNNNNNNNNNNNNNNNNNNNNNNNNNNNNNNNNNNNNNNNNNNNNNNNNNNNNNNNNNNNNNNNNNNNNNNNNNNNNNNNNNNNNNNNNNNNNNNNNNNNNNNNNNNNNNNNNNNNNNNNNNNNNNNNNNNNNNNNNNNNNNNNNNNNNNNNNNNNNNNNNNNNNNNNNNNNNNNNNNNNNNNNNNNNNNNNNNNNNNNNNNNNNNNNNNNNNNNNNNNNNNNNNNNNNNNNNNNNNNNNNNNNNNNNNNNNNNNNNNNNNNNNNNNNNNNNNNNNNNNNNNNNNNNNNNNNNNNNNNNNNNNNNNNNNNNNNNNNNNNNNNNNNNNNNNNNNNNNNNNNNNNNNNNNNNNNNNNNNNNNNNNNNNNNNNNNNNNNNNNNNNNNNNNNNNNNNNNNNNNNNNNNNNNNNNNNNNNNNNNNNNNNNNNNNNNNNNNNNNNNNNNNNNNNNNNNNNNNNNNNNNNNNNNNNNNNNNNNNNNNNNNNNNNNNNNNNNNNNNNNNNNNNNNNNNNNNNNNNNNNNNNNNNNNNNNNNNNNNNNNNNNNNNNNNNNNNNNNNNNNNNNNNNNNNNNNNNNNNNNNNNNNNNNNNNNNNNNNNNNNNNNNNNNNNNNNNNNNNNNNNNNNNNNNNNNNNNNNNNNNNNNNNNNNNNNNNNNNNNNNNNNNNNNNNNNNNNNNNNNNNNNNNNNNNNNNNNNNNNNNNNNNNNNNNNNNNNNNNNNNNNNNNNNNNNNNNNNNNNNNNNNNNNNNNNNNNNNNNNNNNNNNNNNNNNNNNNNNNNNNNNNNNNNNNNNNNNNNNNNNNNNNNNNNNNNNNNNNNNNNNNNNNNNNNNNNNNNNNNNNNNNNNNNNNNNNNNNNNNNNNNNNNNNAACUUCAACAUGAGGGGGGGGGGGUCGAUAUACCCCCUCCCCGAUAAUAUUAUUUUCCCAUGUACGUAUGUCGUCGUUGUCAAUAUAACCCCCUCUCGAUAACUUCAACACGUGGGGGGGGGGUCGAUAUACCCCCUCCCCAAUAACAUUAUUUUCCCAUUUAUGUAUGUCGUCGUUGUCGAUAUAUAUAACUCCCUCCCAGAGAACUUUGACAUGAUGGACGGUCGAUAUUUAUACCCCCUCUCGACCGUGAUAACUUAUACCACGGGAGCACCCCCCGGCCCUCUCGCUCGACCAAAACUCUCGAGGACACCCAAACCCUAGAAAAAAACGAUGUUGGUCUCCUACCCCCUCCCGCCGCGCCCCUACCCUUGAAGCGUUGCCUAGGCCACCCCAAACCCGGAAUAAGCUAGGUCUACGUUUGCACUAAUAUAUCCACCUGCUGUCAUGUUUGUGUAAUAAUUGCCAUGUUGUAAUAUUUGCAGAAACAAUGGAGCACGGACGAGAUGAGCAAGCAGAAGAGGUGUGGGGGGACAUAAUCUUAGCCGGAGGUGAUAUCUUGUCGUAUCUUAACGACAAUGAUGGUCUGGAAGAACAGGGUGAAGAAGCAGGCUACGGUGAUCGAAGAGUGGAGGAGGAAAGACAUGAUUAUGAUGGCUCCGGUGACCCAAUGCUGGUGCAAGAAGGAGCCUGUGGUGACGGCUCCGGUGACCGAACAGAGUCCGGCCAGGUAAAUAUAUUAGUUAAGCCUGUGCUGACUAGCUAAUUGAUGCAUUCAUUGUUUUGGUAUGUACACAUAUUAAUUAACACUCGUCUUUCUUCUUUUUUCUAGGCCUCCGGAUCGACCACAACUUCGGUAAAGAGACGAGGCCCGAAGAGAAAGUUGCGCUCGGAUGAAAGGUUUGAGAUCACAGCAAUCGCGCGCAACGGCCAACCGAUUGAACCCAUCCGGACAAAGGAUGCAUUUGCUGCUCAGUGCAGGGUUCUAGUUAGGGACAAGAUCCCGAUCAGCAUCCACCAAUGGUAUAAGCCUAAGAAGGAAGACCCUGAGGUGUCUUAUGUCAACGAUAUGCAGAAAGAUGAUCUUUGGACUGAGCUGAAGGCAAAUUUCACCCUACCGCCAGAGGAGGAUCUGGAGAAGCCAGUUAAAGAGCAAUUAAUCAAGUCUCAUGCUCUUAAGAAGAUGGCAUACCUAUUCAGGAGGUGGAAGAAUGAGCUGAAAACGUUUGUCGACAAAGAAGAGACACCAGAAUUCAUCGGCCGGUAUGAGAAGAUCAGAGAUCACUGGCCCGCAUUUGUGGCCCACAAGACAUUGGAAAAGAGUAAGAAGAUGUCAGCGACAAACAAGAAGAAUGCUGCGAAGAAGAAGCUUCACCAUCGCACGGGGUCAGGUGGCUACCUCAAAGGCCGGCCUAAGUGGGCCAAGGCUGAGAAUGAUCUGCUUGAAAAAGGGAUCAAACCACAGACAAUGAACUGGACAGACCGUUGCCGGACUUGGUUCUUCAGGGCUGGCGGAAAAUUGGACCCUGUAUCAGGGAGGUGCGUUUGGACGAAUGAGCUUUUGCGAAUACCAGUCAAGAAGAUUCAGCAAUAUAUUGAUGCAACGCAUGAAGGGACGUUCGUUCCAGACAGAGAGAACGAUGAGCUCACAAUGGCCCUCGGGAAUCCUAAGCACCCUGGACGGACACGAGGCACGCCAGGCUCCGUUCGUGGAAGGCUGGUUUUCCGGACGCAGGCGGUUACAAAAGCCAGGAGAGGAGGAAAAAAAUGGAGCAGACCCAAAUUCAGAAGCUGCACGAAAGGGUUCAAGCGCUAGAGGAACGAGACGGCAAUCGACAUGCCGAAACUACCCCCGAAGCUACCCUGCCAUCUCAGCGGAGAAGCAGCGUGGCUUCCACUGAGCUGCUUCAGUCGGAGCAUGUCUUGACGGCUCCUGCUAGCUACCCCGUGGAUUCUAUCACGGAGUCUCAACAUUGCCACCUUAUGGCGCAAUGGCAGAACUUCAAAGUCAAGGCGGCUGUUGGCUCUGUUUUACCUCCUGAACCCGGCGCAACCUACCACUACCGGCCGAUUCCAGAAGGAUAUGCUAGGGUGAUGGUGGAUGAAAUAACGGAGGGAUUUG
rnacentral:lncRNA from 1 species